rnacentral:lncRNA from 1 species
CCUUCGACGAAGGCCCUGAAGAAGGCGCCCUGGUCCUCGCCGAAUUUCCUCACGGCGAGCCGGGUCCCGGCGUUGUCGGAGAAGAGCGUCUGGUCGGAGUUGAGGAAGCCGCGGAGGCGGACGAGGUCCUUGAAGUACUGGUUGUCGAAGACGAGCGGGGUGGCGUCCAUGCCUCCGGUGACGUUCUCGUCGCCGCCGCGGGGGCAGAGCGAGUCGAGCCCCGCGCGGUAGGCGGGGUCCAUGUUGGGGUCGGGCCUGCCGGAGCCGGACUGGUUGUAGAGGCGGAAGACGAUGGAGAAGCAGCGGGCCUCGCCGAUGGAGUGCGAGCCGGAGAGCGCGACGAGGUCGGUGACGGUGAGGUUGUAGCCGGCGAAGAGCUUGAUGAGGGUGGUGGCGUUGGCGCGUGGGCUCGGCAUGAUGUUGUCCGAGUCCUCCUGGCUCGCCGUCAGGCUGUCCUCGCGCCCAAGCCUCACGUCCCAGAAGGGCCCACCUGUCUGUGAUACAGACACAAGAAAGGAGGAGAGAGAGUCAAAUCAAGUCAAUAAUUUCACUGACCAGCCAAACGAACCUGGAAAUUAACAACCCAAAUCUUCCAAUGUUACAGCAUUGUGCAGACAUGGAUAUUGAUUGCAACGUAUGAUCAUUUAUUUGUAUCUACAUUUGUACAUUUGCAUGCAAAACAGCAAAUUCAACCCAAGAUCGUAAUGACAAUAAGAGCAUUAUGUGUUUUGCUUACAUCCAAAUUAGUACGGCCCACUCAUGACAGAACAGUUCAGUUACUAGUACAGUUAAGAGCCGCUGUUUACGUUAUCAAAUGUCAGAAAAUGAAAAUGCAACGGAAGGAUAAAUCAUACUCGGCUCCAUGUCAACCGCGUGAAAAGUGUAAAACUCAAAAAGAACAUGGCUAGCUAGCAAUCUAGCAUAGUGACAAAUCGGCAGCGUGACCCACUGCGAAAGCAAUGCUGCUUUGUCUCCGUCCUAGGUCCUCCUCCUCCCCUCGGCGAUGAGCCAUCAACAAGGACAAGUUUUGACAGCACCCCGACACAGUACACGAUCGCCUGCACGGAAAAGUCUAAAAAGGACUAUACAACUGCAGCUCCGGCCGUUCGGCUUCACGUACGUAGCCAUGGCCCCUAGCUCCCCCACCGUCCGGCCUUUCCCGGCUCGCUGCACGGCGGCUACGUCAAACGCGCUUGUCUUGUGCACGCCGAGGGGACGGUUCAUGCAACCUUGCCCCCGCUUGAUGUUCAGUGUGGUGGUUACAGGGAGCACGGGUACAUGCACUGUACCGUCCCUAUCAGGGGCAUAGGACUAUAGUGCACAUGAAAGGAUAAGGGAGAGGAAAACGAAAGAUGGUUUUGACAAUUCGGGUCACUGAUUCUUUCGGAGAUUUUCGUCAGUCCCUAUGAUUUUCAAACACACGCACACACGCCUUUGUUUUGGAUGAUUCCGAAUGGAAUUCAUGCGGAGUAAUCCAAAUUUCAAGUUCAUAUGAAACGGCAUGUGACACACACGUGACUACGGCCACCGUACGCACGAUGACGAGAGCGCCAACCGCCGGAUUUUACUCCCAGGCGAGGCGAUUCUCAAUCGCUCGUUGGUUCGUCAACGAGGUCAGGGCUGUGUUGUGCCACCUGGGUUGGGGGUGACCAACCAUGCAGCGAAGAGAUGAACUAACUUUUUGUUCGUUACGCAUAGGCGUUGCAUCGCACAGCGGGCAGCCAGCCAUGACAAAAAACGAUCGAGAUAUUUGGCACUUUUCUUCCUUGUCUUUUGCCUGGGGGAGGCUGGGUGCCUCCUGAGAGGAGGGAAAUGCCGGGUUGGGGAGAGGCAGAGGCGGAGCAGCGGAUUUUGCACGGAAACGCGAGGAAAAUGGAAGAGAAACGUAGUACUACUAGUACUACUACUAGAGUGGGCGUGGACGCGGCGGGGCGGGGCGGGAGGGGGUGUGUGUACGUACCAGGGCGACGGCGUCGCGGGCGGCCAUGACGAUGAUGUCGGCGCAGGAGACGACGCCAGGGCAGCGCUCCUCCAGCGCCUCCUUGAUCUCGUCGACGACGUCGAAGGAGCGGAGCGAGUUGAUGUUGGAGAGCGCCUCCUUCUCCCCCGCCAUCGUCGGCGUUGCGUCCAUCAGCACCGACCCGUCGCACCCCUGCUCGAACACGACGAACCAAAUCACGGCAGAUCGCCCGAUCAGAUGGAGAGAAAAACCAAACAAAAACAAAACACACACACACACACACACAGAAACCCACGAAGAGUGACCGCGAGAGGGCAGAUCGGUUCGCGGCACGGCGGAGGAGGAGAAACGGAAGAAUUCGAAUCGCAUCACCGAUACGAGGACGUACGUUGACGAAGCAGUCGUGGAACUGGAGGCGCAUGACGGACGCGACGCUGCGGGCCUCGUGCGCGCGUGCCCGGGCCAUGGUGUCGCGGACGACGGCCUCGGCGUCGGGGCACGUCUCGGCGUAGUACCCGACCCUGAGGUCCCUCACGGCCGCCUCCGCGCCACCACCGCAGGAGAGGACGAGCGCGACGACGACGACCGCGAGGACCGUGGCCGCAGCGAAGCCGCCGCCGCGUCGGAGGAGGAGGAGCGCCAUGGCGAGGAGGAGGAGGAAGCACCGAAACAGACACGCACACGCGCAGGUGGGGGAUUGUUGCUGCUGCCUGCCUGCCCUGCCUCCGCUUCCGCCUGCGGGUCUGUCUGUCUCUGCUCGAUCUCCUCUGCUGUGCUCUGCUCUGUACUACUAGCGCCCGGGCGGGGUGGUGGGUAGUUAUAGAAAAGGGGAGGUACGUGUCGGGUCGGGACGGGGAGAGGAGUCGAGACUCGAGACGGGAGGGUGGGAGACACACGGGCCGCGCGGUGCAGGGGAACCCAGCCGGCCAGUGGUGCACUGCACGGACGGACGGGAGGACGCGAGGUGGUUUGGCUGUUGUACAGGGUAGAGUACGGCCGGGCGCGGCGCAGGCUGGCAUGCGGGUGCGGCGUUGGUGAAUGGUGCUGACCGUAGCGUACUAGCGCGUGCGUCAAAAAUAUCAGCACGGGUGCAUCCGGUGAUAGGGAGUAGGGAAGGAGGGGGGCAUUGACUUGGGGCGCGUUCUAAGCAGCUACUUCACGUUUCACAAUGUAAAUCAUUCUAGCAUUUUUCAUAUUUAUAUUGAUGUUAUGUCUAGAUUCAUUAACAUUAAUAUGAAUGUGGAAAAUGAUAAAAUGACUUACAUUAUAAAACGGAAGGAGUACUAGCCUUGGCUAUCUCUUUGUUUUUAGGGAGAGCGUUUUCAAACCGUUAAAUGGUGCGUUUUUUAUGAAAACUUUAUAUUACUUUUUUUGAAAAAGUAUGGUGCCGUUAAUUUUUCGUACAAUGUUUGAUCAUUCGUCUUAUUAAAAAAUUUUAGUAUAAAUAUGUAAAAAUGUGAGUUAAAUUAUAUUUUAUUUAAUGAUAAAACAUGUCACAACAAAAUAUAUGAUAUAUAUGUUUUGAUUGGACAAAUGAUCAAACGCUACACGAAAAGUUAACGGCGUUAGACAUUUUAAAAUAGAAUGAGUAUAUAUAGAAGAUAUUUAAAAAAAUCAAAUAAAUCUAAUUUUAGGGUUUUAUUAAUUAAUAAUCCCUCCAUCUAUUUUUCACAGUCAUAUUUCUAAAUCUAAAAAAAUUAUUUUUGAUAGACAUAUUUCAAUCCAACAACCUAUCAUCUUAAUGAUUUUCUCGAAUUUAAUGCGUUAAUCUCCAUUCUUCCACACAAAACUGCCUACAUGGGCAUCGAGAAAUGUAAAUAUUAAUGAAUCGCUUGUUACGAGGAAUGACUAGUAACAUGUUUAAAUGGAUGAUAAGUAGACUUAUUUAUCCUUGGUCUGUGUGUCAAGAUGAAAUAUAACUAUCAAAAGUAGAUGGAAUGAGUAUUUAAUUAGUUAUAUGUUAAUCAUGUUUAUUUAUUUUACGUGUAGUUAAUAAGCUAAAAACAUAAUCAAAAGGACCUUUUAGCUAUGGGACACUGAUUGUGUAGUGUGUGAUGACCGCGAGUUGAGUGUGAUUGACGAUGGUGUGUGUGGUGUGGAUUUUGAUUUUUGUUCAUGUUGACCCAGGAACCGGGAUGGAAUCAUGGGAACAUGGGGAGCAAAUGGAGAGCAGCGGUGUAAAAAACGAUGGUGACUUGGGGUCUUUUUCCGGUUGGAAAAAGAAGGCGUAGUAUUUUAGUGCCAUUCUUUAUUAGGAAAAAUAAAGGCACAAAUAUUUAAUGAUAUAUAAGAAUAAAAGAUAGAAGUAGCUAAAAGUAGAUAAACAUAAUAAAUAAGAAUAAAUACAUAAUCAAUGGUGAGACUCUUCCACACUAGGUCAAAGAUAAAGAUAGUUGCAUAGGCUUUGGCACAGCUAUACAACAGAGUAAGAUUUACCUUAUCGUAAGAGGCCGAGUCAAGUCUUCUCGUGUAUAUAUCGUGCAUAAUGACUAAUAAAUUUUAUCAAAGUUUUUAUAAAAAAUUGUACAUAUACUUCUAAUAGUAUUGUUUGUAAUGUCUCAUAUUCACAUUUAUAAUAUACACGUAGCAUAAAAAAAUUCUGUCAGAUUUAUAACCUUUAAAACUGUCAAAUUUUUAUUCUUUUGCGGCUAAAACAUAACAAAUAUGAGGUUAAAACUUUACACAUAAGUGUAAUACUAUUGAAAGUACAUGUAAAUUUUUUUCAAUGAUUUUUGGUAAACUUUGUUAGCUAGUGCGCACGAUGUGUAAAAAAGCCUGUGUACACAUAAUAUGUUCUCGGGUUACCACACCCUAGCAGUAAGAGCGGUUAUCAAGCAGUAACCUUGGUAUUACGGUAAACCGUGAAAAGCACACAAAAUUUAUGAAAAAAAAUCUAAUUAUUUUAAUAAUUCGUUUGAGUUUGAUGGGGUUACCAUGUGUUUUCUAUUACUACUAGAUGGGUACCCCGCGUGUUGUUGUGGGAGAAUUGUGUGAUAAUAUAGUAUAUAUGAGUUCUAAAAUUUUCUUUCUUACCUACUAUACUAUUUUUUUGUGUGCAUGUUUAUAUAUUUUUGUAACUUUAUCAAUUAUCCAAAGGUUAUAAAUGAUUAGGUUGUAUGGUGUGCCUUUAGGAGGAAGAUGUGCAAUUUACACUCUUGCUAAAUCAUCAAAAGACUAAAAACAAUUAAGGUGAUAUGAAGAGAUAUAUUUUACACUCUUGAUGAAUCAUCCAAAUGCUAAAACCAAUUACACAAUUUCUUUAGUAACCCAUAGAAUUGUCUGCCAUGCAUGGGAGGGUAGAUAAACAUACUAAUAAAAAAAACCUUGUUGUCACCUCUAUCUCUCCAAGUGGUGUAGUAGCACUAGGCCUACUAUAGUGUACAACAACAGUAGAAAAUACCCCACGUCUUAGCUGUGGGAUUUGUUAAAUUUAGCAUUGUGUAAAGAUUGAAAUUUAAAAUUAUCGGAUGAAAAUGUUGCUUCAAGGUUUUUUUUUUCAAAGCAUCAUUUCAUUGAAGAAAAAUAUAGGAAAUGAAUAUGUACUAAUAUAAAAUCAAAAUAUUACGUGCUUGUUUAACCUAGAUACUGCAAUUUGAUUGUACUGCAUCGAUCUCCCAUUUAGUUCGUAUUCCUCAUCACGAGUUGUUACUACAUAUAUAAGUAUUAAAAGGUAGGGAGGAGAGAGUCAACAAAUGUUGAUAAGUAACUCCUUGAUCUAACUAUUGGUAAUUUUAUACUAACAUGAUCAAACACUUGGGAUUACUUAUAUUGUGUAUCUAGUUAAAAGUGGAGAGGAGGGGAUAGAGAUGACUAAUAUAAACCGAUAAGUAACCCAUUCUAAUGGUUGAUAAUUUUAUAUUAACAUAACCAAAUGGAUUAGGAUAAGAGAGAACUAAUGAAUGCGAAUAAGUAACUCUUGGAUCCAACAGUCAAUAAUUUCAUAUUAACAUAAUUAAAUGGAUUAGGACUACUAAUUAUGUGUAUCUAGUUAAAGGUGGAGAGAGAAGGGCUAGAGAUGACCAAUGAAUAAGAUAAGUAACUCCUUAUCUAACUGUUCAUAAUUUUAUACUAGCAUAGUCAAAUGGAUUAGGACUACUCAUUAUGUGUAUCUAGUUAAAGGUGGAGAGGAGGGACAUAGAUGACUAAUGAAAGCAGAUAAGUAACUCUUUAUCCAAUGAUAGAUAAUUUUAUACUAGCAUAAUCAAAUAGGUUAGGAUUUGAUCGAACGUUUGACAAUUUUAUACUAACAUAAUUAAAUGGAUUAGGAUUACUCAUUAUGUGUAUCUAGUUAAAGGGGAAUAGGAGGGGUAGAGAUGACUAAUGAAUGCGGAUAAAUAACCACUUAAUCUAACGGUUGAUAAUGUUAUACUAACACAAUCAAAUGUCUUAGCAUAAGAGAGGAUUAAUAAAUAAGAACAAGAAACUCAUUGAUCCAAUGGUUGGUAAUUUUAUACUAACUUGAACAAAUGAGUUAAGAUAACUCAUGAUGUGUAUCUAAUUAAAUGUGAAGAGAAGUGGUAGAGAUGACUAGUAAUGAACAUGGAUAAGCAACUUCUUAUCCAAUAGUCAUGAUACGUAAAUUCGUAUAAUAGAUUGAAUAAAUCUUGUCAACCUGAUUUUAUACAUGCUAUUAUUAUUGAUAGUAUAAAUACUAUAAUUUUAAUCAUACAAUAAAUAUGUUGGCUAUGUUCCAGAGUUAUAGCCAAAUAAGGAUUCUAUGAUCUAUUAGUUACGACUUACUAAAUAUCCAUUUUAAAUUUUAAAAUAAAUUAAUAAAACAAUAACUGAGAGUCCAACUUAGGUGCAACUUUUUUUUAAACCGGCAACAAACGUGCCAAUUUCAUUGGAAAAAGUAGGAGUAAAAAGUUACUUGUACAAUUAAGAAAAAACUGUACAAGAAGUAAAUACAAUACUUGCUGCUUUAAGUUUUCUUUUUUAACGUUUGACCAUUCGUCUUAUUUACAAGACUAUGAAAUUAUUAUUUAUUUUUUAUUGUAACUUACUUUAUUAUCAAAAGUACUUUCGGUAUGACUUAUUUUUUUUAUAUUUGCACUAAUCUUUUAAAUAAGACGAAAGUAUAAUAUCAAAAUGACAUCUAAUUUGGGACGGAUGUAGUAAAAUACUAUGGCAGCAUAAGUAAGAGGUGCUUUGCGCCUGUUGCAACACAAGUUCUGGCCUCUUCGAUCUUUGCUCUGAAAGAUGAUGCGAUAUAAAGCUUUUUGUGCUGGAAAACUCUAGGUGCAGCUUGAUUUAUUGAUUCUAAUUUUUUGAAAAAAAAAUCAACGGAAGGAUCCACGAUAUUGAUCAUGUUUUAUUCAGUUCAGAGACAAAGUAAAAGUUAAAGAGUUCAUGUUAUUUUCGACUGUAUAUUUUUAACAAUAAUUUUCAAUAGAUCUAGAAUCAUAUAUCCACCUAACUAAUAGUCAACUGCUAGAUAUAUUUUAACAUGGGAAUUUUCUUAUAAAAAGGUUUCCAAUUUAUAUAGGUUUAACAACAGCAUGGGAAAAAACUCAAUUAACAUAUAUUCAAGUCUUAGUAUUUUUCAACAAGACAAUUAGGCUGUGUUCGCUAUAACAAGUUCCCAUCCGGAACAGUGAUCACGGAAAACGGAGCAAUCCAUUAGCGCGUGAUUAAUUAAGUAUUUGCUAUUUUUUUCAAAAAUGGAUUAAUUUGAUUUUUAAGCAACUUUCGUAUAAAAACUUUUUUGCAAAAAAACACACCGUUUAACACUUUGAAAAACGUGCGCGUAGAAAACGAGAGAGAGGGGUUGGGAAAAGGCGCAUCCGAACACAGCCUUAGUAUGGUUUUGAAACGGAUCAGAAUACUUACAAGGUAUGAUAAUGGGACUAAUGAAUUCAUCAACUAUCCUUUUCUUUUGUAAGAAAACUCCUAAACAAUCAAGUCGGCUACUUACUCCAUUUUAGAUUAUAAGUCGUUUUGACUUUAGUUAAAAAUCAAACUACUUUAAGUAUAAUCAAAUUUAUAGACAAAUAUAAUAAUGUUUAUAACACCAAAUUAGUUUCAUUAAAUCGCUAAUUGAAUAUAUUUUAUAAUAUAUUUUUCUUGGGUUAAAAAUGCUACUAGUUUUUUCAACAAAUUUGGUUGAAUUUCAAACAAUUUAACUUUGACCAAAGUCAAAAAAACUUAUAAUUUAAAAUGGGGAGUAUUAAAUUAAUAAAAAGUUAGCUACACGUACGUGUAUAUCAAACACAAAUUUCAUUUCAAACUUUUUUAUGGUCGUUGUUCACAAAUGUAGUACUAGAUCAUUUCAUAUCACAAUAUAAAUUAAUAAUUAAUCACAAUGGAGUCGGCGUUUUAGUCAUGCUUUCCUAAUGUUUUUGCCGAACAACAAGUUAACCACCAAUAAAAUCUUGGGUAGGACUCCUGUGAGGCUGUGACUACUGUCCCCGCCCAUAUGAGAAUAUGACUGCACUUUUCUGGUCCCCCAACCCAUGACCGGGAACAAAGGAAACAAUUCGAUCGUAGCAAUAGUGCGUUUCGCACUAUCUUGAUAAAUGAAACUUAUCUUGGCCUCGAAAGAUCACGACAAGUAGUCCAUCUGAUUCCUCGUGAUAUGCCCUGUAUCAAACCAUAUCACUACUUCAACUAUUUAUUUCGAUUAUUAGUAACUUGAUUAUAUAAAUAUAAAAGGCUACAAAGCUAUAUAAAGAUUGGCCCAGGCAAACCGGCCAUACUAGCCGAUCCCAUUCUCAACUUGAAGGAAUAUCUCUGAAACAUCAACUUGGAGAACUUUUUUCUUUUGCAACCAUCAACUUGGACAACUUGCCUGCAGGAGUGUCGCAAUACUGGAAGAGCCAGCUCGCACUGUCACACAGCUUAGAAAUAGCAUCCAGGAACUUUCUCCAGGAAAGAAACAAAAUGCCAAAGCAAGCACGGGUACGGUCUAUUCGGGAGCCAGGAACAGCACUGGACAGGUACGUACGUACAGCUUCUGAAUUUCUGACGACACACGGCCCAUAUGCAUGCAGACAUCCAUGUUACUUUUGAGGGUGCAAACGAGCUUAGCCAACGACAGCACACAUCUCAUCGGUGCGGUGCAUCCGGUGCAGGGAUCGUGCAAGUAGACGAGCGAGACGACGUCGAUCGACGAUCGAGAUUGUCGGUGACAUGGGACCGGAAGUAUCAUGACUAGAGGCUUGGGCAACAGCAAUCACCCACGAGACCUGACCCCCUCGGGGGGGUCGGGCCCGAGGGUGAUGUGGCCGCCCCCCUCUUUGUCUCCCCGAGGGGUCGGACCGCUCCCGUUUCGGCCCCGAGGGUUGAGGCGCCCCGACCCCUUGGGGGUUUUGCGCCGCGUGUCUGGGUUAGGCGAGCGCAGCGGGGCUCACCUAACCGCAUUUAUUGCGGUUUGGUCAAGCGCGUCACGCCGCAUGUAACGCAGUGCAGCGCGCUCGUUUAUCCGGUCUGUGACCAGUCACAGACCGAUCAGAUCGUGGAUUAGGUGGCGACAGGCGGUCUGACACACGCCUCGCUCCAUCCCGUCAAGAUGAGAGCCUCCAAGCACUCGUCCCUAGCCGGAGCCGGCGUGUUACCUCCUGGAGAUGGCACGUUAGUCCCGGUCAGAUAUAUGCCAGGCUUCAUCCUAACCAUUACAAGCAAGAUAUUGUAUGAAGAAGGGCGAACAUGCAGAUUGAUAAACUGACGCGUGGUGGACAAGAAUGACCGAUUUGUGACCGGUCUGACACUGGUCAUAUCGUCAGCAGACAGCCAUGUUCCCACGUCGCGCCUGCUUCCGGCGGAAGUGGAGGUAGGUAUGGGCCGUCCCAUCAGAAGGUCAUUCAGACGGCAACCAUACAAAUCUCCGUCCAUUUAUGAAAAGAUAGGAUAAGUCCCCACACAAAAGAGAGAGAUGGUGCAUGUGGUAUCCCCUUGAGAUAUAAAAGGAGGACCUUGCCCACUUAGAAAGGGAGGGAGGAUCUGGAGAGUAGAUCCCACGAGAGGAAAAAAGGGGAGAAGAGGGUUUCUAGAGUAAGAGCUCUCUGGCUCUCCAGCUCUUUGUAGCUUCUUCAUACACAGAUCCACCAGAACACAGGAGUAGGGUAUUACGCUUCUUAGCGGCCCGAACCUGUAUACAUCGCCCGUGUCUUGUGCUUUUUCCAUUCUCGUGAGCCUUCCACACACCGAGAGCUUAGAAUCUCACCCAGGGCCCCCGGCCGAACCGGCAAAGGGGGGCCUGCGCGGUCUCCCGGUGAGGAGCCCCACGCUCCGUCAUCUGGCGUGCCAGGUAGGGGGUUCUGCGUGUGUUCUUCUAAGCUCUCGCACUCUUUCGUGUGCGCCAAGCUUUUCCUGUUCAGCCCAAUGGCCGAACAAGCAAAGGCGCACAGCCUCUCUCCGAGUGUUAGCGGUGACGACGGGGAGCCGAACCCACGCCGUCGAGCUCGUACUCCACCGCCCCCUCCACGCCAAAGUCCUAGGCGGGAGGAGGCGCUCGAGAGGGUCGAAGGAUCCGCGACUUCGACAUCCACGGGUGAUGGGGAAGGGCGGCGAGAUGGGGAGCGUCGCCUCCUCGUCUACGGCGAUGGCAGCACGCCCAGGGCGCGCUCCAAACUGCGGGCGCGCUCCUACGUCACCCGCCCAUUGUCCCUGACCCGGAGUCUCCAGCCCAACGUUGGCUGGACGACGUGGCCAACUUGGUCAUGACGGCACGGCAGCGCCUAGGUGCUGGUGGGCGGUCCUCCGCCACCAAGACCUCUGGCGCUGCUACCACCGGCUCCGUGUCAUCAAGGCGGAGGGCGCGGCGAGCGGCGGCGGUUGCUCGCCAUUCGGCCGCCACUCCUUCGUCAGCGCCUCCGACCCAGGAAGAUCUGCGUGGGGGGCCGGAUGCCCGCAUCAGUAUCGAGCGCCGGCGUAAUGGCCGACGUGCUGCCCACGCAACGGAGGGCGCCUCCUCGUCCGGAGUGUCACAUCAACACGGACGCGGGGAUCAGCCCUCCGUGCCCCCGGUUGGUGGUGUCGGCUGUAGAGCCUUUGUGGCGAGCCUUCGGAACGUCCGUUGGCCCCCAAGGUUCCGGCCCACCAUCGCCGAAAAAUAUGACGGGAGCGUCAACCCCGCCGAGUUUCUCCAGGUCUACACGAUCGGGAUCGAGGCCGCCGGGGGUGACGACAGGGUCAUGGCGAAUUUCUUUCCCAUGGCCCUGAAGGGACAGGCACGGGGUUGGCUAAUGAACUUGCCACCCGCGUCCGUCCACUCUUGGGAGGAUCUGUGCCAACAGUUCACCAUGAACUUUCAAGGCACAUAUCCGCGCCCAGGUAAAGAAGCGGACUUACAUGCAGUCCAGCGAAGGGAUGAUGAGUCACUUCGCUCAUACAUUCAGCGGUUCUGUCAAGUCCGCAACACCAUACCAUGCAUCCCUGCACACGCGGUGAUCUACGUGUUCAGGGGGGGUGUGCGGCACAACCGCAUGCUCGAAAAGAUUGCCUCUAAAGAGCCCCAGACUACCGCGGAGCUUUUUUAGCUUGCGGACCGAGUGGCUCGUAAGGAGGAGGCAUGGACCUGGAACCCCUCCGGUUCCGGAGUGGCAGCUUCGGCCGCCCCCGGAUCCGCUGCUCAGACAGGGCGGCGGGACAGGAGGAGGAAGAAGAGGUCGGCCCAUUCCGACGACGAGGGUCAUGUCCUCGCCGUCGAGGGCGUUUCGCUGGCCACCCGAAAGGGGAGGCCUGCGAGCGACAGAAAGAAGGCCGGCGCUCCUUGACCUCGACUACUUGGAAGAGCGAAGGCGGCGCGCGGCCCUCCGAGCCGCGCGCUACCAGCAGAGCCUGCGGCGCUACCAUCAGCGCCACGUCCGGGCCCGAUCACUCUGCGUCGACGACCUCGUCCUACGCCGCGUCCAAACGCGUGCUGGAUUGAGCAAGCUCUCACCAAUGUGGGAGGGUCCGUAUCGAGUGAUUGGCGUCCCCCGGCCGGGCUCCGUUCGGCUGGCCACGGGCGACGGCACAGAGCUGCCUAACCCGUGGAACAUCGAACACCUUCGUCGCUUCUACCCCUAGUGGGGGUCGGGUGUCAGGUCUUGGGCUCGGGCCAACCCCGCACCCCCCCGGGCGUGCAGGGUUGGCCGGGGGCUUAUCUUUUUUCUCUUCCGUAUUUCAAUAAAAGCAUUUUCGAUUUCCUAAGGACUGUGUCUGUGCCAUUGUUUCCUUUUGAAGAAUCUUGGCUUGAAUUAGCACACUCGUGCUCGACCCUGUCCUCGGGGGCUCGGGUCGGCUAAAAUCGCCAAACGGGGCCCAGAACCGAGCCGUGCCCCGGGGCGUGGUGAACUCCGGGGGGGAAUUGGCAAAAACCCACAAUCGGGUCACCCAUAACCCUCGGUCACCACGCUCCCGGCCUGGCCAGUCUCGACAUGUGGAUCUCCCCAGGCACUAGCCCCGACCCGAGCCAUUUGAGGACUAGGACCUGGGCACGAGCCCUUGUUCAAGCCAAGACACAGAAGGACCGCGGCACAGACCAUCCUCGUCUCAUACACACAACAAAUAGAAUUGACAUAGAAAUUUCCUCUUUAUUUGGUUGCAGAUUAAAUUAGUCUAUACAAGAAGGGGGCCCGAAGGCCUCGGAAGAAGAAAGAAAAAGCUAUUCAAGAUUGGCGGGGGCCUGGGGGCUCACUCCGACGCGCCCGGGUCACCAGCCUUGUCGUCGCUGUCGUCCGCACCACCGUCACCGCCCUCCUCGUCGGAGUCGAGGGCGAACGCGAGCCGAGGGGCCGUACCCUCGAAGCUGUGGACGAUGUGGUCGGCGGCGUCCCGGACCUGCGCGCGUGCGCCGUCCUCGGUUCCGGAAGGGAACUCUUCCAGCGCUGCCCACGGGGAGAAGUCAGGGUCCGAGAGGCCCCCAAGCCGAACGGCGGCCCAAGGCCCCCGACGGCCGGAGUUGGCCCUCCGCCUGCUUGUCCGACGGUGUUAGGCGCCCCCGACCCUCAGGAUAGCCUCGGGGCCACUACGGGAAGGCCGCGCCUGUCGCCCUCUGACCCCGAGGUUAUCGGCACAGAAGCCGAGGGCGCCCCGCGCUGCCUCUCGGAUGAAGAGCGCCCUGGAGAUGCGGCCCCUAGCGAAGAGGAUCGGCCCCGCCGAAAGGUGCAGCGGCCCGUCUACUUUGUUAGCGAGGCCCUCCGGGACGCCAAAACCCGAUACCCUCAGGCCCAGAAGAUGCUAUACGCUAUUCUGAUGGCUCCGAGAAAAGCGCCAUCACCAUAUCUCCAGGCAAAACGAACCGGCUCGUCCCGAUUCGCGUGCUACUCGAGUAAUGUGGCAGUCUUGAAGAGACCGCUCAUUAUUGGCAGCCGAGUAACCAUUGCCGAUGUGCGUGAUUUGCGAUCGUUGGGUUUCUGCCCAACUGUGGAGACCGGUCCCACCUGUCACCAGGCCUUAAGAAGUGGCGUCACGCCCGACCGCUUCCCUCGAGGAGGGCGAUCGCCCUGGCAUAACACCGGGGGCUACUGUCGGUGACAUGGGACCGGGAGUAUCAUGACUAGAGGCUUGGGCAGGAGCAAUCACCCACGAGGCCUGACCCCCUCGGGGGGGUCGGGCCCGAGGGUGAUGUGGCCGCCCCCCUCUUUGUCUCCCUGAGGGGUCGGACCGCUCCCGUUUCGGCCCCGAGGGUUGAGGCGCCCCGACCCCUUGGGGGUUUUGCGCCGCGUGUCUGGGUUAGGCGAGCGCAGCGGGGCUCACCUAACCGCAUUUAUUGCGGUUUGGUCAAGCGCGUCACGCCGCAUGUAACGCAGUGCAGCGCGCUCGUUUAUCCGGUCUGUGACCAGUCACAGACCGAUCAGAUCGUGGAUUAGGUGGCGACAGGCGGUCUGACACAUGCCUCGCUCCAUCCCGUCAAGAUGAGAGCCUCCAAGCACUCGUCCCUAGCCGGAGCCGGCGUGUUACCUCCUGGAGAUGGCACGUUGGUCCCGGUCAGAUAUAUGCCAGGCUUCAUCCUAACCAUUACAAGCAAGAUAUUGUAUGAAGAAGGGCGAACAUGCAGAUUGAUAAACUGACGCGUGGUGGACAAGAAUGACCGAUUUGUGACCGGUCUGACACUGGUCAUAUCGUCAGCAGACAGCCAUGUUCCCACGUCGCGCCUGCUUCCGGCGGAAGUGGAGGUAGGUAUGGGCCGUCCCAUUAGAAGGUCAUUCAGACGGCAACCAUACAAAUCUCCGUCCAUUUAUGAAAAGAUAGGAUAAGUCCCCACACAAAAGAGAGAGAUGGUGCAUGUGGUAUCCCCUUGAGAUAUAAAAGGAGGACCUUGCCCACUUAGAAAGGGAGGGAGGAUCUGGAGAGUAGAUCCCACGAGAGGAAAAAAGGGGAGAAGAGGGUUUCUAGAGUAAGAGCUCUCUGGCUCUCCAGCUCUUUGUAGCUUCUUCAUACACAGAUCCACCAGAACACAGGAGUAGGGUAUUACGCUUCUCAGCGGCCCGAACCUGUAUACAUCGCCCGUGUCUUGUGCUUUUUCCAUUCUCGCGAGCCUUCCACACACCGAGAGCUUAGAAUCUCACCCAGGGCCCCCGGCCGAACCGGCAAAGGUGGGCCUGCGCGGUCUCCCGGUGAGGAGCCCUACGCUCCUCACCGGGAUGGGCCAGGGCUGCGAGGACGACGGCCUGACGGAGACGGGAUAAAAUCUCGUGGAAACGGUCUAGCUCUACGCUGCUACCGGCCACUAGUACGUAGACGUGUGGGUGCAAGUGUGCAACGCGUACGCGCACGGCUCAGCGUACGCGGCCCCCAUGGAUGCAUACGUACACAGUACACAGGCGUACAUGUACAGGUUUGUGCUUUCGGUCGACGCAUGCGUGGUUCCCCUGCACGGGACAAGGAGAUGAGCAAAAGCGAUUGAUGCCAACUUUGGGGCAAAGGCCGGCGCGCGGGUUUUUGACGAAUUCGGCUUCGCUGUGGCGGAAGUGGUUUUCACGGGCGAGGACCAACGGUUUGCUUUUGCACGGCAUGGGGCGCUCGUCUUUGGGCUUAUACUUUAAGUUACACGGUUGAUGGGCUUCGGGGUGCAGGUUUUGCCGGUCGGUGAGAUGAUGGACCAUGUGCUGACGUGCAUGUAUUUGGGCGGUUGGGCCGGCUAGGCUUCGGAAGAGGCGAAAAGCGGACCGGGAUUGGCAUAGCGGGUUUGGCGCGGUCAAUUCCACACAUGAUUAGUAGGCACGCAUGUGGUUCCCAUCUUCUUUUUUCUUUUUUUGUGGGGGAAAGGAAUCAAUUACUCAAAAAUAAAAUCGACUUUUACAAUCUGUGCUAACUCAUCACAAUUAGAAUCUAACCAAGAAUUCGAAAAAGCUUCAUAUCUAGCCUUAUUAGCUAAAGAGUGGCUAACAAAGUUUUGACUUCAGUGAUUUUCCCGAGCAAGAUCUCCCUACUUCCAUUCAUGUGGUCACACACCUCUCUAACUAAGAAAGCCAAUUCUGACAAAUUCUUCUCUUUUGUUUGGAUCAAUUGCAGCGCUAGAAAGCAAUCUGUUUCCAAAGCGAUCGGGCAUAGCUAGGGUCCAUUGAAGCGCUAGAACAAUCCCUUUUCUGAUCGCCAACAAUUCAGCUUCCAGUGCGUUGCAACACCUGUUCAGAUAAGUGCAAGCAGCGGAAAUAGGUUUCCCUGAACACCCCCUUUUUUGUGGCUAGCCUCAAAGGAUCCAUCAACAUUGAUCACUUUCAUCCAAAGGAUCCAUCAAUAUUCACUUUCAUCCAUCCAAUGUAAAGCUAGGAUUUGGUAAAUCUUUUUAUCUCGACUAGUAAAAAAUCUAACAUAUUUCCGUCGUCUCAUAUGACUUCAUAGUUCCUCGCACGAUAUCAGUUACACCCCACACGUCUGACUGCACACGUUUGCGACAUACCUUAGUACCUCAGAGAGCCCGACACUUUCUACUCUACUUAGUCUCUUUGCUCUUCAGUGGAGCACUUGACUCCGUUUGCAUCAUUGCAUGGACUCCUACCGUGUAGGUUGUCACUGCAUCACUAUUUUCCCUUCCUUUUUCUUUUUGGAAAAUUUUAUUACAUGACACCCAAAGUUUGUGUAAUUUUCUAUCAGACAUAGAAAAGUGUGCUAUGGCUGCAUGAUACCCUCAAAUUUUGAUAAUUUCCUGAAGAACACUUUCGGCUCGAUUGGAAAAAUUCUUUAAAUAGACUAGAAUGCUUUUGGGGCCACAAGCUUCUAAGUUAGUGUUGGAUUUUAAAAAAUAAAAAUUAUGCAACUCUAAAUCUUCCAUCAGCCGAAGUAUAUUGCUAGCAUAUAUCAUAUUCCAUCAACACUCCAAUUCUAGGUUAGAAGUUUUUGGCUAUAGGGGUAUUCUCGUUUUUAAAAAUUCUCUUUGAUUGGGUUAAAAGUGCCCUAUAGCAAAUUAUGAGUUUUUUGGUGUCCUCCAACCGUGACACGCUUUUGCGAUGUCUAGUAGAAAAUUACACAAACUUUGAGUGUCAUGUGACAAAAUUUGACUUUCUUUUUCCCAAUUCAUGAGAAAUAUUAAAAGUCUAUGAUAUGGUGUGUAUGUGGUAGAAAAGUUUAUAAGCGGUGAAUUAUUCCCCACGCUUGACAUCCUUUGUUUCUGUUCACUAAUAUUUUCCAUUGAUUUAUUGAUUUUUCUGUUGCAACACACAUGUCCUUUGCUAGUAAAGAAAAACCCCAGAGCCAAGAAUACGAAUAUAAAGAUAGGCAAUUAUCACAACAAAGAGAAACUAGGAGAGCAAACAAGACGAUGCAGCCAAUUGCCUUUGCCUUUACAUCAAAAUUUGCAUCUGCAUAUGUAUAAUUAUGGUGAUUCACAGCCCCGACCCUGAAAGACUGACAAGCCAUACAUCCUGUACUUAAAUAAUUAAAUAUAAUUUCUUUCAAUUCCCAAGAUACAGCAAGGCAUAUAUGAUACCAUACGUGCUUCAACCUAUGAUACACUAUAACAUUUAUGACACAAUAUAACAAACUUCUAUUUAACGGCCUGAUUCUAGACACUGAAGUUCACUAUUGAUGCUGAAAUUUCCUGUAUUCUCAACCGUUGAGUUGUUGAUCUCGUAAGAAGAGUCCCCAAGUAAGCUCUCCAUCUCUUCAGGAUUUUGUUGUGCCCAUGGAUGUUGCAUUACCUUCCUCAACCUAUCGAGCUUGUCUGCAACUUCCUUCAUCAACGGUCUAUUCUCACCAGACAUUUCCAAGCAUUGCUUUGCUAACUCUGCAAUCUCUUCAAGAAACUCCAAAUUAUCUCCCGUCAUGAUUUGAUCAUCUAAAAUAUCAGAAAGUCUUUUUUCCUUCAUGGCUGAUAGAAACCUCAUGGCUAGGCUCCUCUCAUCUUCAGGGCUUUCAAGGUUGAAUGCUUUCUUUCUUGUGAGCAAUUCUAGAAUAACAACUCCAAAGCUAUAUACAUCACUUUUAUCUGUUAACUGGCAUGUUUGCAUGUACUCUGGAUCGAGGUAUCCACAAGUUCCUUGAACGAGAGUGACGAACUGCGACUCAUCAGUUGGUGCUAGGAUGGAAGCACCGAAGUCAGAAACUUUUGCUACAUAAUCUUUGUCUAAGAGGAUAUUUGAGGACUUGACAUCGCCAUGGAGGAUCGGUGGUGAUGCCCAUGAGUGUAAAUAGGCAAGAGCCUCUGCAGAUUCAUGUGCAAUACGUAAGCGAGUAUCCAAGGAGAUGUGUUGAUUGUGGUUCCCGUGGAUGAGAGAGAACAAUGUGCCAUUUGGAAUGAACUCAUAGACAAGCAUCGGAACUUCUACUUCGAGGCAGCAACCCAAUAAUUUGACAACGUUCCUAUGGUUGGUUUGGGACAAGAUUAGCAUUUCCUUGCCGAAUUCUUUCUUUUGUUUCAUAUCAAUUGUGAUGCAUCUUUUGACGGCUAUUUCCGUGUUUCCCUUGAGAAGUCCCUUGUAAACAGUUGCAUUGCCUCCUUGGCCAAGGACUUGUUGUUUGUCAAACUUGUUUGUUGCUUGUUGCAAUUCUUCUUCUGAGAAGAUUUUGAAUGAAAUGCCUUGUUGAGAUUUUAUCUCUUCGAAUAGCAACAUACCACCAUGUUGGCGGAAGUACCGCCUUUUGACAUACUGUAGCUUUCUCUUCUCUCUGAUGAAGCAUGCAUAAGUUACUAUAAUCACUAGUAAUACGGCCCCAACACUUGCUCCUGCAUAUAUAAUAGAAAACUUUAGAAUUGCUAUGAAAAGAUUAUUGGAAUGUGUAGUUGAUCCCUUUAUGCUAGCCCCAAGGAAGUCCCACAUAUGCCACAUCGGCAUUGGCAGAGGAAGAUUCACUAAAUUAUUUUUUUCUUUAGCAACUUGAGGAGUUCGUGAGGAUUUCAUCAUUAGUUGGAACAUGAAAUGUUCAUGAUCAAAAAAUGUGUCCAUUCUUCUUACUAUAGAAAAAUACACACCAUGCAUGCAUGAUUCAUCAGUGGUUGCUGGUCUUGCUAUGGUGUACAAAUUAAUAUUAGGAAUAUCUAGAAAAGAGAUAUAGUUGCAAGAAUGAAUGUAUACUAAAUGCUAAAGUAAAAGGGUAGAUAAAUGAGGGCUAGCUUCAGAAUGAAAAAUACAUUAAUUAUGCAUACACACCUUAUUGUUUAAACUUGAAAGCCAGAACGAAUACCAUUUUUAAACAUAUAACUAUAUAUAUAGUAGAGGCAUUGUAAAUUAGGAUUAUAUUUUUCUAUAUCUGCAUGAGGAAAACGAUAGAGCUACUAUAUAGUAAAUAACUAAAUAUAGCACAAAUGUAUAAGCAAAAACAUAAAUGUAUAUCGAUCUCACAUGCCAUUUUAAUUCUUAUAGGAAGAGACGAACUCACCUAUUACAAGAUUUUUAGGAAAACCAGACUUCUGAUUUGGAAUGCAAAUUCCAUUCAUCAUAUAGUUUCCAGGGUAGCAUGAGCAGGUGAAAUUCCCCAACGUAUUCUUACAUAUUCCCGGACAAGGGUAAGUAGCAUUGUCGAGGCACUCAUUAAUAUCUGAAGCCAAACCAUCAACACAUUUGGUUAAAAUUGUUGCAUUAUCUUAUACAUUUGUAACAAAGAUAGGCAGCAGGCAUAAGAAGGUGUGUAUGACUAUACCUUUGCAUCCAUCCUUGACGUAUGGAUUGCCUUCAUAUCCAUCAGAGCACUUGCAGCGGUAACCUCCCUUUGGAUCAUCAACACAACGACUUUUUCCACUAAUGCAUGCAUAUGAAGUAGUGUUUCUUUUGACUCGAUCACAUGAAUCCAUUGUUAUGAUCCAAUCUAGGGAAACCUUAGCUAACCCAUUGUAUGUGUCAUAGAAUGUAGUGGAGUUGAAAUAAUUUUUGUUGAAGUUGAAGGUUGUGGUUUCCAUCACUGUUAUGAAGCUGCAAGGACUGCUGUUAUUAUUUCUUUUACUGAAAUAAGUACUAUAGUACCAUGUGCCAUUGGGGAAAUCAAGUUUGCAGCAACCCGCUUCACCGGAACAUAUACCGUCCUUGGGGUCGUUUCUGCAUGAGGGCACACAACCUGUUAAAACCUGCACAUGUUACGUAUUAUAUAUACACCUUAAUACAAGAUUUGACAAUGAUCCAAAUAAUUCCCCCCCACACACACAUCCUAUUUGGGAAUUGACACGAUUUUCAAGCACACCCUUUAAUUUUGAGAAAGGCCGUGUUUAGAUUCAUUUUUUUUUUGCCAAAAACGUCGCAUCGAAUGUUUGGACACAUGUUAGAGCAUUAAAUGUGGACGAAAAAAAACCAAUUUUAUAGUUUGCAUGUAAAUUGCGAGAUGAAUCAUUUGAGCCUAAUUACACCAUUAUUUGACAAUAUGAUGCUACAAUAAACAUUUGCUAAUGACGGAUUAAUUAGUCCUAAUAAAUUUGUCUCGCAGUUUACAGACGGAAUGUAUAAUUUGUUUUGCUAUUAGUUUAUGUUUAAUACUUUAAAUGUGUGCUGUAUACUUAAAAAAAAAUUGGCCAAGGAACUAAACACACCAAGAGUAUGUUUGUAUUCACAAUUUCAUAUACUCCAUCAAAAGUAUCAAAAGGCUCUGAAUUGUAGGUAGGCACAUGUAUUUCCAUUGAACGAAUAUGCUCAUAUGUACUCCUUACUCCUAAUGUCGAUGGACACUAAUAUGAAAUGUAGGAUUUAAACAUUGAUAGGCUUACAAUCACACCACCCAGCCAUUUGGCCACAUGCCAACUUCCAACCACUACAAAAUUAUAUAUACUUAUGCUCUGAAUUUCUCAUAUAUACACACUACCUCCAAUUCACAAGUAAGUGUUGUUUUGGAUACCUACACAAUCACCAAUACAUCACUUUGAUUAUUAAUUACUAAUAUUAAAAUGUACACAAAAUAUAGCACAUUUAUAAUAUUUUGAAAGUACUUUUAAAGGAAAAUAUUGUCAUAUCGUUUUCAAAAGUCAACUUGAAAUAGCAGCGGUCAAAUUUUCCACACGCAUUCCACAUGCAUGUGAAAGGGAGAAACUAAUAAUAUUCUCACAUGACAAAUCCUAAGUCGUCCUUGAUAUAUAAAGGAAUAAUAAUUUAGACUAUCAUGUAUUUUAAAGGCCAUAUAUUAUGAACACAUUUGAGUAUUUGUGAUCUAAUGCAACCAGAUUGACGAAUUAUGGGCAUAUACUUACAUUAUUGAUCUGCAUAUACGAAAACGUUUCGCACCCGAUGACGAUGAUCUUGUUAUCCCUGUCCGAUAUCCAGAAAGGCGAGCGGCUGAAGCUCACAGAUGUUGUGUUGGUGUUGUCCUCCCUGGUGCCCGUCGACUGGUUGUAGCAGUUCUUGGAUAUGUUCAUCUUCAUCCAGGCCUUGCCGUCUUCCAUGGAGAUCUUGGUCACCUCCAUACCCCUGAAGAAAGGCUUGCUGGUGCCGUCAACGGGCUUGCAGUCGAACUUGAACGGGUAGUUUGUGUAAGGCGCCUCGAGCCCGCAGUGCUCGCCGAUGCCGAACGGGAACGGGAUGUCCACGGCGCCGCACUUGGUCGGGCAGCCCGGCUUCGAGACGGCCGCCACCGGCGCCGGCACGUUGCCGGCUGCGGCCGGCGGCGCCGAGACGGCAAGGCAGAGCAGCAGCAGCGACGAGUACUGCAGAAGAAGCGGCGGGCGGCUGGCCAUUAGCGGCCUGAUGGCGAUGGCGAUGGCUCUGGCUGCUCCGGCGAAAGAUGUACACAAAGAGCAAGCAAGUGAAAGGACUUAUGUGAUAUUCUAAUGACAAAUUAAGAACUUGUGUGUCAGUCCAAGGCAUAUGAUGCCGUAGCUUUAUAUUAAAAUGGGUUGCUUGGUUGGGUGCAUGCACUGGCCUAAAUAAGACUCUCUCUGCUUAUGUUGGAUGCAUGCAUGUUGUUAUUGAAAUGACACCAGGGAGGCUUCGCAGAACCGGUCGUUUGAUACUUUGAUGUAUAGUGACAGGUCUAUGGUAAUUGGAAGGGCAAAUUUUACGAUACUUGAAAAAGUAUCGACGUAUGAAUUUUGGUAUCUCGAAGUGAUGUACUUAAAUAUCUGGAGCAGGGUAUAACGGUUUGUUUUCUCUAUUUCUAUAAGUACUGAUAUAGCUGAAAUUUCGGUUCAAAAUUAUUUGUAAUGUUGAACAAAAUUUGAUUAAAUAGGAACAUUUUUUUUCUAAAUACGCGAAAAAAUCACCCGCAAUCAUCUCGUUUUUUUGGGUGUGUUUUGGGGGAGGGGGGGGGGGCUCGAUGGACCCGAAAUGUUAGAAAUUUCAGUUCCAAAUUUUAAAUCUUAAUCUAUAAUGCUAAUUUUUUUUAAAAAAAAUAUGUAACUUUUCGGUAAAUUUUUAAAAAGGUAAAGUUACUUAGUUGGAAGAGCUUUGUAUGCUUAACACUAUCAAAGACAGUGCAUGACUUGAUACAGGUGCUCGUAGUUACGACUAAUUAUUAUUUUAGUUAUAGACGAUGUACCUAUCGACAACGAGAUGUCCGUAGUGAUGACUUCAUUAUUCUCAAGAUAUACUGAUCUAGUCUUUAGAAAAUGUUUAUAGGGAUAGGAUGUGUGUAUUUAUGUUUACAAGGGUGAGUAUAUGUAUGAGGACCUGCGUUUGUACUGACUUUCUUUAGGAAAAAAAAAGACAUUGCGUAUGACAUCGACACGCUGCACAAAAUUCCGCGCGCUAUACUGCUAGCCGGUGGUGCUACUGAUCGGCUACGUGCAGAAUUGAUGUACCUUUAUUUUUUCACAUUUUUGAAGAGAAACGCAUUAAUGUCUGAUCAAAUAUACGUGUCAUUUUGAUGCAAGUGGAUACCUAGUCCAUUACAGGUCGUGUUUAGUUCGUGUGUUAAUUUUUUCUAAAUAUACGGACGCACAUUUGAAAUAUUAAAUAUAGGCUAAUAACAAAACAAAUUACAGAUUCUGCUUGUAAACUACUUUCUCCGGGUUGAUAAUACUUAUUGUUUUGGACAAGAGCACGGUCUCCAAAAAAUAACUUUGACCAUUAUUUUCUAUUAUAAUAUGUAUAAAAAUGUUAACAAAUAUAUGAUUUUAUUAAAGUACUUUUUAAGACUAAUCUAUACAUGUAGUCACCAUAUUUAAAAGACAAAUAUUUUAAAAAUAAUUGAUAAUUAAAGAUUCUAAAGUUUGACUUCACCCUUGUCUAAAAUAACAAGUAUUAUCAGCCCGAAGGGAGUACGAGACGAAUUUAUUAAGCCUAAUUAAUCCGUCAGCAUCACAUUGUCAAAUCACGGCGUAAUUAGGCUCAAAAUAUUUGUCUCGCAAUUUUACAUGCAAAUUGUGCAAUUGGUUUUUUUCGUCCACAUUUAAUGCUCCAUACAUAUGUCCAAACAUUUGAUGUGACAAAAUUUUUGAAAGUUUGAAGGGAACUAAACACUGCCAUAGUUCAAAGUGCUAUGAUUAGAUAGGGUCCCUGUGCACACUAGCUUGAAAAACCGUCGGAGUGAAUUAUGCUGUGUGAAAUUCAUAUGUCCAAUUUACUCUUUGGAAAGGUUAGUGUGAGAAUCCUUGAGUCUGUUUGGCAAAGUUCCAGCUCCAACGCCAGUUUUACCUUUUCUGGAGCUAGAGCUUAGCCAAACAAUUUCGGCUACCUAGAAUAGGAGUGGAGCUACGUGGAGCUUUCUCACAAAAUAAAAGAGGUGGAGCUGGGUUUAGGCAACUGUAAUAGAGAGUUGGAGCUGGGUUUAGGUAGCUUCACAACUUCACUACAGACCCAACUCCUGAAGUUAAAUUUAGGAGUUAUAACUUUACCAAAUAGGCACCUAGUUAUUUGUGCUUCUGGUCGAUCCAUGCUUGAUGCUUUAGUUUGGCAAGUUGAUGCAAUGGUUUCUAAAGCCACACGCUUCAGACCUAAAUUUGGAUUUGACGGGAGUGCAUAGAUUGGGGUAGGAGAAAAUUAAUAAAAAAAACUAAUAUUUCUCAGUAACGAGAAACUGCAAUAUAAUGUUUCACAUUCCAUGAAAUUAUUAGUUGUCGCGUACGAAAUGGGGGAAACUUGUAGAUUUUCCGGUAAUUAAGCCGAUAUUUAAUGACUAGUGAGCCCUCAAAGGAAGACUAUGUCAAUAUGCAUGUGCACUUAACUCACGAAAACGACCUUACUACCUGAUGGUAAUGGGUCCUUUGUUUUGUUAAUACCACGGUCUAGAAGAUCUUGGCUUCAACUUGGGUAUGUACAUGAACUAGCUAGCCGGUGUCGGUCGCAUAUUCAUCGACCAUUGCAUGUUACCACAAUAGGCACACACAUAUGAAAUCUUCAAAUUGCUACUAGCGCUGGCUGGUUGGUAGUGAUGUAAGUGGACUGAGCUGCAAAUCACUUAUAGAUCAAAUAAGUAUAGGUCUGGUUACCGUACCUAGGAAUACAAAUGAGUUAUCACGUGAACUCACUUGUAGACUAAAUUAUUGGGUAAUCCACCGGUCAAUUUGUGAGUUACCCACUAAUUUUGUUUAUGAGUGGAUUCAUGGAUCGAUCUAUUUGCAUCCCUACUGAUUAGAACUCCUUAUCUCUGGCGUGUAAAGCAAAACACGCAUAGCACAUAAUUAAUUAAGCAUUAGCUUAAAAAUACUUUUAAAAACGGAUUAACAUGGUUUUUAAAGUAAUUUUUUAUAGAUUUUUUUUAAAAAAAAGCGUAUUAUUUAGCCGUUUGAAAAGUAUGCACGUGGAAAAUAAAAAAAUAUGAGCCUGGGAACAAGUCGUCGCUGAUGCUAAUUUGAAUUUCUAUAUUGUCGCAAUCAUCGAUCUGCUUGCCCUCCAAAGCCAGCUUACACACAACACAGCAAUGAAAAUGGCACGGCGUACAUCUUGAGGACGAUAAGGCAUGCAGGUCCUUUCUCCAGGAAACAAACCAUAAUUAAUUAAGUAUCACAAAGCAAUCAUGGUAAAAGUGUUACGAGGGGAUUUAUCCGGUAAAAAUAAUCAAAUAAGUGAAAAUCCAUAAAAACCAAACUUAAAAGUUUUAUAAAUUCAUAAAAAAAUUUUCUAGAGUGCAUGCAUGAAAUACAUUAUUAUCAAAUAUCAAGUUCAAUUCACCUUAUUAUGGAGUAAUAAAAAGAUAAAUUUCUAGGUGAAUACUAACGUAAUAUUCCCUUCAUCCAUAAUAUAAGGCAUGGUAAAAGUUGACACGGUCUCCAAAAUUAAUCUUUAGAUUAUAAUUUCUCAUAUACUAUAAGAUUUGUAGCAACAAAAGUAUAAUCAUAUGAAAGUAAAUUUAAAUGUCAAUCUAAUGAUAUAACUUUUAACAAAUAAAAUUCAUUUCAUAUUAUACUAAAUGUUGGUCAAAUAUUUUAAAUGUUAAAUCUUAAAAUACGUGCGCGCCUUAUAUUAUGGAAUAGAGGGAGUACUACUUACCUGAAAUUUGUCUUUUCUUUUUCUCUCUAAAAGGAAGGAAGUUGAGUUUGGAGUUAAGAUCUGGUAUGAAUACAUUUUAUGACUAUACCUGAUAGUAUUGUUUUUAUAAAUUUAGAAAUCUUUUAGGCAUUGUUUUUAUGAAUUUUCACUGGCACGAUGGUUUUCACCGGAUAUUCUCCCUCGUCAUGAGGAAAAAGUUCACUUUGGCUCCCUCGAAUAUAGGUCAAAACAAGAGUGCAUCCCUCAACCGUAAAAUUAGAUAUAACAGCUCCUUCAACUAUUAAAAUCAGAACAAAAUGACUCCAAAGACAACGUUGAAAGUGGUUUUUACUUAGGUGGCCGCCUAUAGUCAAUAAAGUAAAAAAAAUAUUCAUGUGAUCCACAUGUCGGCGACUUGGCGUCCUUUCUUUUUCUUCACUCUCUUCUUUUCCCAGCCAUAUCGGCAAUACGGCCCUCCGCGACGACGGCGCCCUACGCUCACUCAAUCCGCCUUCUCCCCCUUCUCUGGCAUCGACAAGGACGGUGAUGGCGCUGGCUACAGCUAGCCACAGUUCGCGACGCUGCAGUCCCACACUCGCAUCCCUUGGGGCGUUGGAUUGACGUCGUGGUCCCAGACUUUGCACACAACCGGCCGGCAAAGGAGGGGAAGGGGAGAGGGAAGGUGGUGAGGAGGAGGGUGUAGGAGAGGGUGGAGCCGAUGGAGAGCGGGAGCAACCAACGGUGAUCGACGGCAGCGGCGGUAGGGGAGAGGGCGGUGCCGGUGGUGGGCUUUCAUCUCAUUUCAUCUCGUGGGCCUUGCGGUAGCUCUCUACUAUUGGAAAGUAAUGUGUGUACUUUUCUUCAUCAGUAGUACAGGUGGUGUGGAUGAACUGAAGCAACUAAAGUCAUAAACACCUUGACCAACCAACCAAACCAAACAAAAUUUUAUGGCAUCAUAUGAUUGAAAGCUUGUAUUACCUAAAGCAAGCACAAGUGCACGUAGGGUGUCGACGAUGCCCAUCACCUCAAAUGGCCCUGGAGAUGCCGGAGAAUAGCUGUUAGGUACUGCGCUGCCGGCGCUACAACGGCCUCGCACAUAUGCUGCCACGAGUGCCGCUACAAGUGCAAGGCCAUCUGCACCGCCUUACACCACAUCCAAGUCCAGGGCCAUCAGGAUGUGGGCAAGGCUAGGUGGAUAACAAUCACCCUGCCUUCCGUGACGGCAACGUCGCAGAGGGCAGCAUCGCGAAGGUCUGCUAGCCGCAGCCUACCACCACUACUACACAUAAGAUUUUUCUAGACAGGGACCUCCCAUUUUCUCGUGCGGAGCUUUUUCAUGUGCGUCUGUAAAAAUCACUCCUAUUUUCACGUGCGGGCCUCCUAUUUUUACCUGCGGAUCCUUAAGAGGCCGCACGCGAAAAUCGAUUUUGGCAGGCGGCCCUCUUAACAUGCCCGCACGGAAAAAUACACAAUUUUCACAUGUGGGCCUCCUAAUCCACCCGCACAGGAAAAUAUCCAUUCCCUCUCAACCUAUUCAAAAAAUUUCAAAUUUCCUUCUCUCUCUCUCUCCCCUCCGCCCCUCUCUCCUCUCUGUCCCCCUUUAAUUAUCUUCUCCUCACUAUCCCCUCUCUCUCUCUCCCCCGGCCCCCUUCUCUCCUCUCUCUCGCGCCUUCUCCUUCUCCUUCUCCUUCUCCUUCGGUGCGACAGGAGUGGCAGGCUCGGCGGCGGGAGACCGCCCCCCGCCCGGAUCCGCGAGCUCGGGCGGCGGCCGGGUGCAGCGACGGGUGUUUCUAGGGUUAAGGUUAGGUUUUUUUUUUGAUUUUUUUCUAUUUUUUGUUUGGCUUUUUUUUUUGGUUGCGUGCGGGCGGUAUAAUUUGACCGCAUGGGAUAAUCAAUUAUCCCGUGCGGUCCACUUAACCCAACCGCACGGGUGCGGUUGGGUGCAGACACUUGGCUACAGAUGGACAAAAGCUCUGCACGGAGAAAUCCUUCUUGUAGUAGUGCACGGCACCACCGCCUCUACCGAUGCUGAAGAAGGGGGAGAAGGCGGAUCGAGCGAGUGCAGGGCACCGUUGUUGUGGAGGGUUGUAUUGCUGACGUGGUCGAAAAAAAAGAGAGGGGAGAAAAAGAAAGGACACCGACAUGUGGGCCCCACAUUUAUUUUUUAGUUUAUUUAGUGACUAAGCUGCCACGUGGAUGCCACGUCAGCGAAAACCACCUUCAAUACUAUCUUAGGAGUCAUUUUGUCCCAGUUUUAAUAGUUGAAGGAGUCUUUGUACCCGGUCUUACGGUUGAGGGAUGCACUUUAGAUUCGACCUAUAUCUGAGGGACUCAAACUGGACUUUUUGCCUCGUCAUCAACAGCUCUGCUGAUGUACGGGCCAGUUAUCCGUUAUCCACCACGAGGCCCAAUUCGAACUACAGAACCAUGUAAAACCCAAUUACCGAAACAAAAGUCCUAUUGGGCUACCAGUGCCACCAAUCUGAAUUUUGGAGCCCAUCAACACUGGCCUCUUUUUCACCUCGCAGCCUCGCACCGCAAGCCCAAGCAGCCGCAGGUUUCUUCCCCUCAUCAUCAAUCGAUGCGGCGGCCGAGAGACGGGCGGACCGGCGGUAGGAAGGGCGGCGCCGCCACCACCGCAUCAAGCAGGCGCGGAAGAACGCCUAGAUCCCGUCCUCCGGUAAUCUCCUGCCGCCACCGCCUGAUGCAGCAUCCCGAGGUCCAAUGCUCCCAUCCCAACCCUCGUGUGCAUAACUGCAUACUGGUUGGAGUACCAACCCUUUUUUUAGUUGUUGGUUAGAGUAUAGAUUUAUAGUUCUGGUUUAAAUUAAGCGUUUUAAUAUUUCUCUAAAAAGUCUAUGUUAAUUGGAGUAGGAUAACAAUCGGUUUGUUCAGAAACUGCCUUCAGAUUAAUCCUUUUUUUUAUAUAAUUUAAGAUGCUGAUUUAUAUUUAUGUAUACUUCUUACAGGAGCAGACAACGAUUCUCAAGGAAGGGUGGGACAAAUAGUUUGAUUUCAGGAGUAUAUGCUCCCAAUACGGAUGCCAUUACCAGCCACUGUAGGACUGAUGCCAUUGUGAGGUAAUGUUGUUUUGCUAUGAAACAAUUUACAUACACAUAGUUGCUCUAUUUUUUUUCUUUGGUUCAAUUGGUCUGAUGGAGAUUGACCUAUGGGUAAUAAAACUAUUUUUUUUUCAAUUGGUCUGAUGGAGAUUGACCUAUGGGUAAUAGAAUGUUUAAGCGGUUGGCUUACAAGCAAAGUAUAUUAUGCCACUCUCUUGAUUAUUGGAGUAUGCAAGAUUAUAAUGAACGGUAGUUUCUUAUGAGGAGAUCUAAUUAUAGUAUGUCGGCAGGCCUUGGUGUUCAAUAUAUGUGCAGGUGAAUGGUUACUGAUAAGCUAUUUCUGAGAAUAAAUAAACUUGCAAAGCAUAUGGAUCCUAACCUCUUGAAAAGUACAUGUUGUCGUGAUUUGUUAGCAGUAUGAGAAUUGAUCAAACUAUAAAAAGAAAAUGUGUGUCAAAUAUCAAAUCAAUUACUAUUGUACAUAGAUUUUUGAAAGGUAAAGCUACAAUAGCAAUUGAAACAACAACCUCACCUUUGGAUCUUAACAAUGAUGCAACCUUGAGCUACACAUAUAAAACAUGUAUGAAUCAUUCCAUAUAUGAUGACGAUUACCUAUACAUGUAAUACUUUUGGAGUAUACCUAUAUAAUUUCCUGGGAUAUGAUAUACAACAAGGUUAUUAGCGAUUAUCUUCCUGAUUCUAGGCCUAUUAAAGAUUUCUUCUCAAUGCUGAAAUUUCCCGUACUGACAACCUCCGAGCUAACAAUUGAUGACUCUCCUAGUAAGCUCUCCGCCUCUUCAAGAUUGUGCAGUGCCCAAGGAUGGUGCAAAACCUUUCUCAAGCUAUCAAGCUUUUCUGCAACUUCCUUCAUUGAUGGCCUAUUCUCACCACACAUUUCCAAGCAUCGUCUGGCCAACUCAGCAAUCUCUUCAAGAAUCUCCAUAUUCUCCUCGCUCUUAAUUUGAUCAUCCAAGAUUUCCUCAAGCUUGUUCUCCUUGACAGCAGAAAGGAACCUCACAGAUAGGCUUUUCUCAUCCUCUAGCCCGUCAAAAUUUAAUGGUUUCUUUCUCGUGAGUAGCUCUAGGACAACAACCCCAAAACUGUAUACAUCACUCUUAUCCGUUAAUUUCCAUGUUUGCAUGUACUCUGGGUCAAGGUACCCACGAGUUCCCUGCACAAACGUGACGAACUGUGCAUCAUCGGUUGGCGAUAAGAUGGAGGCUCCAAAGUCAGAGACCUUCGCUGUGAAGUCACCAUCAAGGAGAAUGUUGGAUGACUUGACGUCCCCGUGGAGGAUUGGAGGCGAUGCCCAUGAGUGAAGGUAGGCCAAUGCUUCAGCAGACUGGUGAGCAAUCUGUAAACGCGUGGAUAUAGAGAUGUGCCUGCCGUGGCCAUCAUGAAUGAGAUGGAACAGUGUGCCAUUUGCGAUAAACUCAUACACCAAUAUUGGGACUUCCACUUCAAGGCAACAACCUAAUAGUUUGACAAUAUUUUUGUGGUUGACUUGGGAUAAGAUUACCAUUUCUUUACCAAAUUCUUUCUUUUGUUGCUCAUCGAUUGUCUUGCAUCUUUUGAUUGCUACUUCAGUGUUGCCGUUUAGAAAUCCCUUGUAAACGGUGCCAUGUCCUCCAUGACCUAGGAUUUUCUUUUCAUCGAAAUUAUUAGUGGCUUUCUGCAAUUCUUCUUCCGUAAAGAUUUUAAAUGCAGUACCCUUCAUCUCCUCAAAUAGCAGUCGACCUCCAUGCUGUCGAAAGUACUUCUGUUUUAUGCUGUGUAGCUUAUUUCUUUCUUGGAUGAGAUAUGCACACGUCACAAUAGUCACAAGGGUGACAACUCCAAUACUUCCACCUGCAUGGUUUCCAAAGUGAUGUUACUCCAAAAUGAUGAUUUGAAAGCAUUUCCGGGGUUUUCAACCUUAAAUUUUAAUGAACAUGAAUAAUAUGAUUGAUUCCUACUAUAUGUUCAGAUUGGUUUUACUGUAAUGCGCUAUUAUGUUCAAGAUUGGUGUCAAUGUACAAUUUCUCCUUUUUUUUUGAGACGCUGAAGAGUGUAACGGACCUAUGACAGGUAUAAUCCAAGAAGAGGAACUCUGCUUGCAAACACCGUCAAUCAGAUGUUUUCCUCGUUGACAUGUACAUGUGUAGCUCCCCUGCGUAUUUAUGCAAAUUCCCGUGCAUGGAUGAGCAUCUUGGCACUCGUCGAUAUCUGCCAAAAAAAGACUUAAAAAUAUAAUACUUUUUCUACAUCUCUUAAUUUGCAGGGGUAGAGGAAUCAAAAUGGCCGGAAAGGGACCUUCGCAUCCAUCCGUGAUGUAUGGGUUGCCCUUGUAUCCAUCAGAGCACUUGCAACGAUAACCGCGACCAUUGGUGGCAUCGACACAGUAACUGUUGCUACUAACACAAGCGUAGGAAGUUCUGUUCUCUUUUGCUUCCUCGCAUUUUUUCCAUUCAACUGUCCAAUCCAAGACAGUGGGAACCAUCCCCUUGUACGUAUCACUGAAUACUGUGGAGUCGACAUAAGUGGUACUAAAGUUGAAUGCUGAAGUUUCCAUGACUACCAUGUAGUUGCAAGGGCUGCUCCUCCAUAUUGCAGUGGUGUUGUAGUUUGCAUUGAAAUAACCUUGGUAAUACCGUAUGCCUUUCGGGAUAUCUGCCUGGCAGCAGCCAGCACCAGAGCAUGAGCCAUUCUUAAGGUCUACGUUGUCGCAUGUUGAUGAGCAACCGAUUACGUACUGCAUGGAUUGGCGGGUUAUAAACUGCAAAUAACAGCACGACCCCAUGAGAGUUUGCAAUUAUAUUUGUUAAAACAAGUGCUGCAAAACAGAUAGCUUUCUUAACAUAGUAGAACUAGGAUUAGUGUCUUCAACAUAGAGUUCAUUUGUGAUUCAUAUGGAAAUGGGCUCUAAGCCCUCUUUGGUUGUGGGCCUGUUCGGCAGCUGCACCUUGCAGCCGAACAUGCCCUGUAGUGAUAUAGUUGGCCGCACACAAAAUCCACCCAAUCAAGUUCUUUUUAUUUUUUUUGGGAGGGGGAAUUUCGACUUAUAUGUAUGUUAUGACAAGUCGAACUAGUUUUCACAUGUCAAACAUGUCUCAUUUGAAAAAUUAAGAUAUGCAAAGUUUUUUACAGAAAAAAAUUGAAUCCUAAUUUUACCUACAUUACCCUUACCCUUUGAAACAAGGAUAAAUGAUUGCACAUUUUUUGAAUCAAACGUCAAAAAACACAUAAAUAUCCAAUUUAGUUCCAGUCAAAAAAAAAACAUGCAUCGACAAUUAGAAAUGACCCAUCAAUAUAACAUAAUGAUUAUAUUAAGAAUUAGUAUAAGACCUUACAUGAGAAGUCAGAAAUUAUGAGAUGCAACUAGUGAACUAGAAUCUAUAGAAGUUGGCUUUCUCAACUUCUGACAAAUAGUUUAUUGAGUGAAUUGCACUUUGGCCUAGUUGAGUGAAUUGCACUUUGGCCCGGUUAUUAUUGCCUGUGUUUUAUUUUGGACUAGGUUAUAUCUAACGUUUUCACUUUGGUCCAGGUUUUCUUACCUUCUAUUGCACAUUGGACCACUUUUUUGUUUGCCACUCCUUGAUUUCAUUAGCGAGCUUACCCGCAACACAAUAAACCAAUCAAUAUUCCACCUGACCUUGAUUUCUUUACUCAUUGAUUUAGCUGCUUGAUUUCUACCAUUUUUCCCUUAAUUUAUCAUGUGAGCUUAGAACAAGUCACUGUAUUGAGCUUGCAAGCGACAGCUACAGCAGCCAGCUACCACCAGUCUUGAUUUUGCUGGUUCCUCAAGCUCGGAACAGAGCAGAGAGAGAAGGAAUCCUGGUACUUUGCUUGAUCAUCCCUCAGAUUCCAUAGCGCGGCUGCUUAAUAGAGAAAAGGAGGGAAGAUUGAUGGAGAAGAAGGGUGGUCCAAUUUAAAACUUUUGUAAAUUUAUCUAGUCCAAAGUGAUAAGAUAACUUUAUCCCUCGUCCAAAGUGAAACUUUGGUAAAAAUUCCUAGCCCAAAGUGUAAUUAACUCUACUUUAUUUUAUGGAUUCUAUAACUUUUGAGUGGCUGAGAAACACCAAGUACAGUGGGCUAGCUUGAAUGAGGUAAAGAUGCUCUGUUUUCGGAAUUGGGGUUGUGAGGUCAUGAUUUGCGAUUAAAAAGAAUAUCAACCUUUCCUAUUCCUUAAGAAACUGAUAAUGUAUAAAAUAUGCAAAAAUUACUUACCGAGGUACUGCGCAUGUAAGCUAGUGAGUUGCAACCAACAACGAUAAGUUUGUUGUCCUCGUUUGACAGCCAGUAAGGUGAAUAUCUGAAACUGUUCCAUAUGUCAUCGUACAAGGUUCUGUUUGUUUCUGGGUCGAAGCACUGGGAGGAUAUGUUCGUCUUCAUCCAUGCUUUUCCGUUGGGCACGGAGAUGUUGGUCACCUCGAUAUUGUGAAACAUAGGCCUCGCGGCGCCGUUCACGGACGUGCAGUUCAGCUGGAAGCCCCUGCUGUAGGCGCAGUCUGGCCUGUCUGGGUCGAUGAUGCCGAAAGGGUAGGGGAUGUCGACGUCGCCGCACCUUGUCCGGCAGCCCGGAGGCUGGCCACCGGCCGGAAUUGCGACGUCGGCCGCGGCAAGCGUAGCGAUGGCGCCAAGGUAGAGAAGAAGGCAUCCGGGAAGAAGAAGAAGCUGAUGACGCUCCAUAUGCUGCACUUGCUUGUCCGUACUCCUUAGGUAGCCGGUUUGUUGUGCGUUUUGGUUGGUGUGCUUGGGAAUUUCGGCAGCGGCCUCCUUAAAUAUGAUGGGUAGGAUAUGCUUGUGGCGAUGGAAAAAGAAUUCAGAGGGGGAUAAACUUGUCUCGCUCGUGAGAUUCUAGACUAAGUCCCAUUUUAAGUGUAAGUAUAAUUUUCUGCGUCCAAUUUUAAUCGUUCGUCUUAUUUAAAAAAAACUUUUGAAAAAAAAAAUUAAAAACAUAAGUUACGAGUAAAGUAUUAUUCCUAUUUUAUCAUCUCAUAAUAACAAAAUUACUAAUUAUAAAAAAAUUUUAAAUAAGACAGAUGAUCAAAAUUGGGCAAAAAAAAACUCAUUAUUAUACACAUGAACUUAAAAUGAGACAGAAGGAGUAAUAAAGAUCUCGAAAAAUGUAUAUUUGAUCAUAAAUAUAUUCCAAGAAUUAUGGACGACGACUUACUCCCGGGUCUUCACGUCGAAAAGAAAGAGUGCAUAUAUUUUUAUUUUUCAAAAUGUUUUUCCUCCAUCGUAAUCGAUCCUCCAGCUCUACUAACUACACAUAACAACGGAAGACUUCGAACGACUGACGUGACUUAAGCGCGUAGGCCAUGCGUGAUAGCAGCAUUGAGUGACAACCGCUUCAUCUCCCCUGUUGUCAUCCAUGUUAAUUCUAUCCUGCCACUGUAGCGAGAGGUCUUUACCUAUGUGCUAUUAAAAAAAAAAUGAUGCCUGCCUCUGUGUCACUAAAAAGUUCAAGUCUCCCUCUAUGCCAUCGUCGAACUUUAUCGCGCCCUCCACAUCAUUCCAUCUGUUUUUUUUCUAACAGUGGGUAACGGCGCAGCCAAAUGAGUUUGUUGCCCAUGGGGUUGCUUGGCGACCUCACCUGGCGCGUGGCGCAGCCGAUCGACCAGGCCGCGAUGGCCGGGUACGACGCCCUCGUCGCCGACGUCGAGGCGUCUCUUGCCCGCGCCUUCCGGAUGCUGCUCGAGGCCGUCGACCGCAAGAUCGACGGCGAGGUCGGCGCCACCCACGGGGAGCUCGCCGCGCUACUGGAGGAGAGCUGGAGCUUGAGGGCCAGCUCAAGCGGCUCGACGCCAGGGCCGAUGAGCUGAGCGAUGCGCGCCGGAUCCCGUCCGCGCCACGCCUGUCCUCCACCGCUGCCGCCCGCGCCGACUCCGCGGCGAGCGCGAACAUCGCCACCGCCCGCUCGAUCGCCAGCGCCGCGCCUGUCCUCCACCGCGCCCGCAGCCAAAUCGGCCCGCGUGAGUGCUGCCGCUGCGCACGGCCAGGCCGACUCCGCGGCGAGCUCCACCUCCACGGCCACGUCGCCCUGCACGACAGCCUUCUCUUCCACCGGCGCCGCCGUCCACCGAGCCGAGGCAGCGACACCGCCGGCUGCCUCCCCAUCCGGCGCCAGACCGCCUCCUGCCUGGCGCUCCGUCGACGGUGCUCCCCGGCCGUCUCCUCCUCCAUUUUGCCGAAGGGCCACCACGGCCGUCGGACCCGCAUCGCCCUCCCUCACCUUGACCCACGCUGCUGCAACCGUGCCGCCGCGCCAAGCACCAGGCGCCGCCGUGCCCGGCCGUCGCCGCGCCACCGCGCGCUGGCUGCCGCUGCUUGUGUGCGCUCGCGCGUGGGAGAAAGGGGGAAGGAGUGAGAGGAAGAAACCGGAGGAAUCGACCACCACCACCCCUCUCCGACGACGACACCACUGAGAGACGCAUGUAUGCCUCCCUGUCCUCCUCCAGGCUGCCGCCGCGCCGCCGCACUCAACCGCCCCCCCCCCCCCCUCUCUCUCUCUCUCUCUCUCGCACUCAAAAGAAGAAAGGGCAAUAGAGACAUUUUUUUCCGCCCGGCCUACAUGUCAGAGCUGCCAAACAGUUAAACCAAAACAGAAUAGCGACGGAAUGGUGUGGAGGGCGUAAUAAAGUUCGACGAUGACAUAGAGGGAGGCUCGAACUUUUUAUUGGUAGAUAGACAUGCUCCAUCUUUUUUAAUGGCACAUAGGGAAAAACCUCCGCAGGCGAACUACUGUGAGCUAGCCUAGCUACUGGUCUCAGCAGUGUGUACAACAGUACAAGGAAAUUUACAGCGACCUGAUAAGUGAAUAAACUUGAUCCGUUCAAUUUGUGUGGCCGAUAGUCUAACUGUACCAAUCGGCCACUGUUCACAUCACAAUGGCCCUGCUUUAAUCCAAGAAAAAAUUUGAGUAAAAACAGGCCGCGUUCACCUGAGAAAACCUGGCCUCGUCCAUAUCACACAAUUUCUCGGCAACCAGAACUGUCACAAGGUCGGUCUUUUCUAGUGACAGUUCUGGUUCUCUUCGCUCCGCUCAGUAUCAUGGAAGACUCGACUGUUUCACAGCCCACAGGGUCCUGUGACUUCGAACGGUGAAUUCCGCGUGAUGCUCUGUUGCGUGCAAGACUACAAAUGUACAUUUUCCAUUGCGAGCUUUAGCUCUAUUAUUUUCGGUUAAGAUUCAGAUUUUACUUCGAUUGCAUACUAAAGUUACUAAACGGUGUAUUCUCUGCCUUUCUGUUUAGAAGGUACUUUAAAAUAUCAAAUAUAUUUAUCAAGUUUGUAAUAAUUAAAACUUAGUUAAUGACUUUCUCGUUUCGUGCGUGUCAACUUAAUUUUUAUUUUCAUCCGCUUCAAACACAGCUUUUAUAAUUAAAACACAGCAUUGACAACUUAAUUUUUAGAGAUGGAAUUGCUGAAAAAUGUCCGGACCAAACGCAGCUUUUGUCAAUGCGCAACCGAGUACGAUGAGACAACAUUUUUUGGGUUUAGAAGUUGGUUAGGAUAGGUUGCAAGAUGCAUGGGUCAGCAUAUCUUGCAAGGUUUGGUCAAGAAAAUGCUGAAACCAAGUGUACCAUAGGCAAUUACCACACGGUAGACAGAAUCACAUAUAAAUCAGUGGGGAAAAUAGUACAGCGAUAGAAAAUUAACUUGACUUCGUAUGAUUUGCUUCUUAUUCUCAUAUAUGAUGAAACAUAGUCCCAUAAAGACUAAAGGUGUACACAAACAAUAUUUUUUUAUUUUUACACAAAAUUUUUUUAAUAAUGAACAUAACUGAGUCUGAAUUUCUAGGGUAAGUGAAAACUAUGAUACAAUAUGACGCGGUAUGAUAUGGUGAUAUGAUGUAUGCUGGGUAGCAAAGAGAUUCCAGCUUAACGCCCUGAUGCUAGGUCCUUGACAACUUUCUUCUCGAUGCUGAAAUUUCCUGUACUCGAGGCUCCUGAGCUUAUAAUGUAAGAAGAUUCUCCAAGCAAGCUCUCCAACUCUUCAGGAUUUUGUUGCGUCCAUGGGUGUUGCAUUACCUUAACCAGCCUAUCGAGCUUCUCCGCAACUUUCUUCAUGGAUGGUCUAUCCUCACCACACAUUGCCAAGCAUUGCUUUGCUAAAUCUACAACUUCUUCGAGAAACUCCAUGUUCUCUUCAUUGCUAAUUUGAUCGUCCAAUAUAUUCUCAAGCUUGUUCUCCUUCAUAGCUGAGAGAAACCUCAUUGACAAACUUUUCUCAUUUCCAGGAGCAUCAAGGUUGAAAACGUUCUUCCUUGUGAGCAGUUCUAGAAGAACAACUCCAAAGCUGUAAACGUCACUCUUAUCUGUUAAUUCACAUGUUUGCAUAUACUCUGGAUCAAGGUAACCCCAAGUCCCUUGGACUAGCGUGACAAGCUGUGACUUGUCUAGUGGAGCUAAGAUGGAAGCACCAAAGUCGGAGACUUUUGCCAUGAAGUUAACAUCGAGGAGGAUGUUGGAGGACUUGACAUCACCAUGGAUGAUGGGUGGUGAAGCGUAGGAGUGGAGGUAGGCUAGUGCCUCAGCUGAUUCAUGGGCGAUCCGUAGACGAGUAACUAGAGAAAUGUGUUGGCCAUGGUUGCCAUGGAUGAGAUUGGAUAGCGUUCCAUUUGGGAUAAAUUCAUAUACUAGCAUAGGAACUUGUACUUCAAGGCAACAUCCUAAUAGUUUAACAAUGUUUAUGUGGUUUAUUUAGGAUAGGAUUAGCAUUUCUUUACCAAAUUCUUUCUUGUGUUGCUCAUCCAUUGUCAUGCAUUUCUUGACAGCUAUUUUAGUGUUGUCCUUGAGAAGUCCCUUGUAAACAGUGCCAUGACCACCAUGGCCAAGAAUUUGGUUUUUGUCAAACUUGUUUGUAGCAUGCUGCAACUCUGCUUCUGAGAAAAUUGUAAAUGAUUUCCUUUCAUUUGAAUUCAUCUCUUGAAACAGCAGUAGACCACCGUGUAGCUUAAAAUAUUUCUGCUUGAUGUGUUGCAGCUUUCUUCUCUCGCGGAUCAAGUACGAACAAGUUGCCAUGAUCACAAGUAUGACAAAUCCAACACUUGCCCCUGGUUGCCGAAUAUAAAUUUGUCAGCCAAUAACAAUACUAGGACAAACGACGACUUGACUUAGAAAAGCAAGCGUUGUAGUACGUACCAAUGCACUAAUAAGAUAAUCAAUAUGUAAAUAUAUAUAUAUUAGCAAAGAAUAUCUACUGCUAGUUGUAGUACGUACCUACAACAGGCAUCACCCAAGCUUGGGACUUCUGAAUCUUCUGAUCUGGAACACAGACACCCCGAGCCAGCUCAUUUUGUCCUUGAGGGCAAGAACAUUUGUAACUCCCGAUUGUAUUUUCACAAAUUCCAGCGCAUGGAUAAGUAGUGUUAUCAAGACAUUCAUUGAUAUCUGAAACAAAGCAAACUUUCGUGAAUAUAAGUUCUUAUUGUAUACUUUGCUGAAUAGAGAGAGGGAGAGAGAGAGAGAGACAGAGAGACCUCUGCAUCCAAGAAGACCGUCCUUGACGUAAGGAUUGCCAUCGAACCCCUUGGAGCACUUGCAGCGAUAACCUCUCCCAUUCGUUGAAUUGAGGCAUUCGCUAUUGUUGCUAACACAAGCAUAUGAACUCAUGUUCGUUUUCGCUUCCUCGCAUGUCUCCCAUGUAAUUAUCCAGUCCAUCACGGCCGGAACAGUCCCGUUGUAGUCAUCCCAGAAGUUUGUUGAGGGAAUGUAAGUGGUGCUAUAGUUCAAAACUAGAAGUCCAGCCACUCACUUACACAGCCUUUUCCAUCACUACCACGUAGCCACAACUGCUGUAGCUGAUUUCUGAGGAGUUAUAGUCUUUAUUGAAGUAAGCCUCAAGAUAACCCAGGUCUGGCGGGACAUCCACCGAACAACAGCCAGCGCCAGAGCAAGAACCAUUUUUUGGUUGAUCGGAGCAUGUGGACAAGCAACCUAUGACAUACUGCAUAAGUCACAGAUGUUAAUUUGUAUCUAUGACGUUAAAUUAAAUGAGAUUAUGUAACGAUCAGUACUGAGCGCCUAGUAUAUUAAUAUAAGCAAAAUGUCGUCAAAGCAUAAAUAUGAGGAGAUACUUACGGAAACACCUCUCAUGUAGGCCAUUGUAUUGCAACCGAUGAUGAAAAUCUUGUUAUCCUCGUAUGAGAACCUGAAGGGCAUGUAGGUGAAGUUUUGGAAAUCCACCCAUUCCUUCAUUUUGCUCGAGGCCGAGUCAUAGCACUACCAAGAGAUCCGCAUCUUCAUCCAGGCUUUGGCAUCGCGCACAGAGAUUUUCGUCACCUCAAACGACCCCUUGAAAGGCCUCUUGGUGCCGUUGACAGGCUUGCAGAUGAUGUUGAAGCCAUGGUGGAUUGCGCAGUGAUCGCCGAUGCCGAAGGGGAACGGGAUGUCGACGUCCCCGCACCUCGUCUGGCAGCCUGGGUGUCCAGCCACGGGGACGUCGGCGGCUACCAUCCCGAUGGCUGAAACGCAGAUCAGAAGAAUGGUGGAGGGAAGAGGCUUAGUCAUUGCGUGUGUGUGUGGAGACUGGAGGAGACAGGAGAGUGUGUGCUUUGCUGGGGCGUGACGCGGUGUGUGUUAAAUAGAGAUAUCCGCUUUACUGUCCCUGGGCAGCUUGCCCUGCAGUAUGUGAUUAAUAAAAGCUGGUGGUUGAUUAUUGAUCAUUCCCGAUAUGAUACUUUCGUCCAUGUAUAUAAAUAAUUUUACCCUUUUAUUUUUUUGGGAUUUUGUAAUCUUAAGAUAGUAUUUUAUUUUCCCAUCUAUCAACUUGUGUAAUAGUUUAUUCUUUACCUAUCAACUUUUGUCUUAUUUUAUCCUUCCACCUAUCACCUUUUAUACUAUGGCAUAUCCUUUUGCUACUUCUUUAAAAAAAAUUUAAAUGACAUAAUUCCUUAUAGCUAGGCACACGCACGAGGAAUUAAAGUCUGUUGUCAUGUACUCUCCAUUCUAAAAUAUAUUUUUUUAACAGAAACCACACGAGAUUACGCUUUUUCAUUAAAUAUAGCAGGAGAAAAAUACAACCCCUAAAGGCAAACAUUCUAAAAUAUAUUAAACUAGUAUUAGAUUUGAUAUAAUUUAAUUCUAUAAAUCUAAACUAGCAUGAUAGUAUCAUUAUAUUUUCUCUCAUAUAAUAGCAUAUAUAUUUUCUUAUUAUAUUAUUCAAAUAUAUUAAAAUAAUAACAUAAUUUUAAAUUUUGCAAUAACUUUACGAAACUACUAAUGUUAAUGUGUAAUAUUCAUAUAGUAUUUUAUAUAUGUGUUAGUUCUUAAUUAUUUUUAAUAUCAAAUUUUAAUUAUUUGUAAAUUAUAUAUAUUCCUACAUUGACUCUAGACUCGUCUAUUAAUAUUUCUUUUUUUUAAUUUUAAAUUUUCUGUAAAUUGUAUUUCUAUAUAUAGACUCUAGGCUCUUCUUCCAAUAUUAUUUAUUUUUAUUUCUGAUUUUUUAUUAUUUCUAAUUGUAUUUCUAUGUGGACUCUAUACUCAUCUUUUAAUAUUCUUUAAUUUUGAAUUUUGAAUUUCAGUUACUUCUAAAUUGUAUUCCUAUAUUAACUUUAAACUCUUCUUCCCAUGUUUUUCUUAAUUUCAAAUUUUAGUUAUUUGUAAAUUAUAUUUUUAUACGGACUCUAAACUCUACUUUAAUUUUAUUAUGUUUAUUUCAAAUUUUAGUUAGUUUUAAAUUCCUAUAUGGACUCUAUACUCUACUUCUAAUAUUCCUUAUUUUUUAAUUCCGAAUUUCUUUUUUUUUCUUAAUUGUAUUUCUAUAUGGAUUCUAUACUCUACUUCUAAUAUUCCUUAUUUUUAAUUCCGAAUUUCUAUUAUUUCCUAAUUGUAUUUCUAUAUGAACUCUAUACUCUACUUCUAAUAUUCCUUAUUUUUUAUUCCGAAUUUCAGUUAUUUCCUAAUUGUAUUUCUAUAUGGACUCUAGUCUCCUAUUCUAAUAUUCUUUAUUUUUAAAUUCCGAAUUUCAACUAUUUCUAAAUUUUAUUUCUAUAUGGACUCUAGUAUCCUCUUCUAAUAUUCAUUAUUUUUUAAUUCUGAAUUUCAGCUAUUUCUAAAUUAUAUUUAUAUAUGGACACUGUUUUUUCUUUUUCUUUGAUUAAUGUGAGAAUUUCUAGACCAUGAGAGCGAACGUGGAGACUCAUUUUUCUAUGCCUUUAAUAAUAUAAUAGAUAGGUUCUUGUUCAAUUUCAUACUACUAAAAUAUGUCUUUUAUCCCGAUUGCUAUAUUUUAUAAUACGUGGCGUCUAAAGGAUUCAGGAUGGUCCAUCAACGAAAUACUCGCCCUCGCCCAUGCACGCUUUACUCAGUCAGCCGGUCAGCUUAGUAUAUGUCGCUCUAAUUGGCUGGAUUAACUCUAGGGUCCCAGGGAGACUUGCCAAGUCAAUGCCGCUGUUGUUGAGCUCAGAGCAUAUCAGAGCAACUAGCUAGCUGGAGUAGCUUCCAAGAGGUACAGUAGCAGUCGGUCCACGAUUGUGGAGACUGAUGAAUGAGUCCAAGUCUUGUGUGACUGAGACAGUGAGACGUGUGAUUCCCCCGGAACAAGUUGGAGGUUGGAGUAGACAAGUGUUGCACCAGCUAAAAAGACUAUUUUUUGUCUUGCUCGUAUUAGGGCCUGAUUAGUUUAAAAAAAAAUUUUCACGCUGUUAUAUCGAAUAUUUGGAUACAUUUAUAGAGUAUUAAAUGUAAAAAAAAAAUAAUUACACAGUUCGCCAGGAGAUUGCGAGACGAAUCUUUCAAGCCUAAUUGCACUAUAAUUUGACAAUAUGGUACUAUAUUAAAUAUUACUAAUGACAGAAUAAUUAGGCUUAACAAAUUCGUCUCGCAGUUUCCUGGUGGAAUCUAUAAUUUAUUUUGUUAUUAGAUUACGUUUAAUACUUUAAAUGUCUGUCCGUAUAUCUGAUGUGACAUGUAGGGCAAAUUUUUUUUCUAACUAAACAAGCCCUUAAUCCUCUGUCUAGCCAUCCCGUUGAUAUAUAUAUUUUUCUAAACUUAAGCCCUUAAACAAGCCCUUAACUCCGGAUCCCAAACUUUUUUUUCUAUUUUUCUAGAGCAAAGUACACGGCCGGUCCUUAAAGUUGGAACGAGGUGUCACUUAGGUCCAUGAUCUAGGAAAAUCGUCAUUCGGGUCCGCGGUCUUGUUUAAGUGAAUCAUUUAGGUCCAAAGCGCCUUUGAUUGGAUUGACUGGCUUACGUGACCGUCCACGGUGGCAGCAUGUUUGCAUUUUAGCCCCCCUCCCAUCUUGGCUCCCCCUGUCUCUAUCUCAUUUCUCUAUCUCCACAUGUUGUCAGUUGCUGACCACCACGCGUGCAUGCAUGAGCCACUAGCUGCACCCGCCGAACACCCCGGAGCCGUCGCCUGCACCCGCGUUGUGCGUGUCCUGGGAGAAACCGAGCACGGUCUGAGCUUGUUGUUGCUCCUGCUGUGGCGGUGGCGGCAUGCGGAACUCGCCGAGAUGGAACCCCACGGCUGCAUACUCCGCCGGCAUCCCUAGCGGCCCCAUCUGAGGCAGAGGAACGUAGCAGCCAAUGCUCCUCAGCAACUCCAUCGCCGAGAACACGCACCCACGCUGCCCCUGCCACCAACGCCGUUCGCCACCGCCAUGUUGCCUCCGGGGUUGCACAUGUUGCUACUCUCCAAGCUCGGGAACGCUGUGAACUCCGGCGACUGCAGGGCGCGGCCGUGGUGAUGCGGGAACGCCAGGUUGAGGUCCUACGCGCCCUUGUGCAUCGACUUCAGGUUCUUAGCCGCCAGCCCCACGGGGACCGAGCUAGACACCGUCGCGGAGGUGGAGGCCGACGCGGCCGCUGAUGACACCAUGAGGACGACGAACGCUUGUUCUCCCUUACCGUUGCCGCCGUACGCGCCUCCCUCAUCGUCGUUGUCGUCCUCGCGGCCGCCGCCACAUCUACACCGCCACCCAAUCGCCGUUGCAAUCGCUAACCCUAGAAAUCACACAGGAGGAGCCGAGGAGGAUUUGGGGGAGAAUGGUUGGAUCGUAUAUGGGAGAGCCAAGAUGCGGGGGGCUAAAAUGCAAAUAUGCUAUCACCGUGGACGGCCACGUAAGCCAGUCAACCUGGUCAAAGGCGCUUUGGACCUAAAUGAUUCACUUAAACAAGAUCACGGACCCAAAUGACGAUUUUCCUAGAUUAUGGACCUAAGUGACACAUCGCUCCAACUUUAAGGACCGGCCGUGUACUUUACUCAUUUUUCUAUAAGUAAAUUGCGACGGAUGGAUAUGAUUUAGAACAACAACUUGAAAUUCGAACUAACUGGUGCAGUAACUUUCUUGGUUUGUGACAGUUUGUGUGGGUUUUUAAUCCAAAUGAGUGCCACGUCGACAAUCCAGUUAUUAUAGCUAGAGAGUGUGCUCCCAUGGGAAAGGAAAAAGUACACCGAAGGUCCCUCAACUUAUUAUCGGGAUAAAAAACGUCCUCGAACCGCAAAACCAGAUAUGCCCAAUUUUAAUCGUUCGUCUUAUUUAAAAAAACUUUUAAAAAAAUUUAAAAACAUAAGUCAGUAAUGAGUAAAGUAUUCUUCAUGUUUUAUCAUCUCAUAACAACAAAAAUACUAAUUAUAAAAAAAUUUCAAAUAAUACGAACGAUCAAAGUUAGGCAAAAAAAACUUAUCGUUGUACUUAAAAUAGGACAUAAAAUAGGGCAGAGGGAAUAAGAUCUCAGAAAGUGUAUAUUUGAUCAUAAAUGAAGUAUAUCCCAAGAAUUAUGGACGACGACUGACUCCCGGGUCUUUACGUCGAAAAGAAAGAGUGCAUAUACCUUUUUUUUUUUCAAAAUGUUUUUCCUCCAUCGUAAUCGAUCUCCAGCUCUAUUAACUACACAUAGCAACGGAAGACUUCGAACGACUGACGUAACUUGGCAGUCAUGCGUGAUAGCAGCAUUGAUAAGUGAAUAAACUUGAUCCGUUAAAUUUGUGUGGCUGAUAGUCUAACUGUACCAAUCGGCCACCGUUCACAUCACAUUGGCCCUGCUUUAAUCCAAGAAAUUGAGUAAAAACAGGCUGCGUUCACCUGAGAAAACCUGGCCUCGUCCAUAUCACACAAUUUCUCGGCGACCUGGCGAGCGAUGUUUAUGGGUCUUGGGUACAAUUGGGGGGCUUCACAGGGUCGGUCUUCUCUAAUGACAGUUCUGGUUCUCUUCGCUCCGCUCAGUAUCAUGGAAGACUUGACUGUUUCACAGCCCACAGGGUCUUGUAACUUCGAACGGUGAAUUCCGCGUGAUGCUCCGUUGCGUGCAAAACUACAAAGGUACAUUUUCCAUUGCGAGCUGUAGCUCUAUUAUUUUCGGUUAAGAUUCAGAUUUUACUGUAUUAUGUGCCUUUCUAUUUAGAAGUUACUUUAAAAUAUCAAAUAUAUUUAUCAAGUUUGUAAUAAUUAAAACUUAGUUAAUGACUUUCUCGUUUUGUGCGUGUCAACUUAAUUUUUAUUUUCAUCCGCUUCAAACACAGCUUUUAUAAUUAAAACACAGCAUUGACAACUUAAUUUUUACAUAUCGAAUUGCUGAAAAUGUCCGGACCAAACGCAGCUUUUGUCAAUGCGCAACCGAGUACGAUGAGACAACAUUUUUUGGGUUUAGAAGUUGGUUAGGAUGGGUUGCAAGAUGCAUGGGUCAGCAUAUCUUGUAAGGUUUGGUCAAGAAAAUGCUGAAACCAAGUGUACCAUAGGCAAUUACCACACGGUAGACAGAAUCACAUAAAUCGGUGGGGAAAAUAGUACAGUGAUAGAACAUUAACUUGACUUCGUAUGAUUGCUUCUUAUUCUCAUAUAUGAUGAAACACAGUCCCAUAAAGACUAAAGGUGUACACAAACAAUAUUUUUUUAUUUUUACACAAAAAAUAAUUAAUAAUGAACAUAACUGAGUCUGAAUUUCUAGGGUAAGUGAAAACUAUGAUACAAUACGACGCGGUACGACAUGGUGAUAUGAUGUAUGCUGGGUGGCAAAGAGAUUCCAGCUUAACGCCCUGAUGCUAGGUCCUUGACAACUUUCUUCUCGAUGCUGAAAUUUCUUGUACUCAAGGCUCCUGAGCUUAUAAUGUAAGAAGAUUCUCCAAGCAAGCUCUCCAAUUCUUCAGGAUUUUGUUGCGUCCAUGGGUGUUGCAUUACCUUAAUCAACCUAUCGAGCUUCUCCGCAACUUCCUUCAUGGAUGGUCUAUCCUCACCACACAUUGCCAAGCAUUGCUUUGCUAAAUCCGCAACUUCUUCAAGAAACUCCAUAUUCUCGUUAUUGCUAAUUUGAUCGUCUAAUAUAUUCUCAAGUUUGUUCUCCUUCAUAGCAGAGAGAAACCUCAUUGACAAACUUUUCUCAUUUUCAGGAGCAUCAAGGUUGAAAACGUUCUUCCUUGUGAGCAGUUCUAUAAGAUCCAAAGCUGUAAACGUCACUCUUAUCUGUUAACUCACAUGUUUGCAUAUACUCUGGAUCAAGAUAACCCCAAGUCCCUUGGACUAGCGUGACAAGUUGUGACUUGUUUAUUGGAGCUAAGAUGGAAGCACCAAAGUCGGAGACUUUUGCCAUGAAGUUAACAUCGAGGAGGAUGUUGGAGGACUUGACAUCACCAUGGAUGAUGGGUGGUGAAGCGUAGGAGUGGAGGUAGGCUAGUGCCUCAGCGGACUCAUGGGCGAUCCGCAGACGAGUAACUGGAGAAAUGUUCUGGCCAUGGUUGCCAUGGAUGAGAUUACAUAGUGUUCCAUUUGGGAUGAACUCGUACACUAGCAUAGGAACUUGUACUUCAAGGCAACAUCCCAGUAGUUUAACAAUGUUUAUGUGGUUUAUUUGGGAUAGGAUUAGCAUUUCUUUACCGAAUUCUUUCUUGUGUUGCUCAUCCAUUGUCAUGCAUUUCUUGACAGCUAUUUCAGUGUUGUCCUUGAGAAGUCCCUUGUAAACAGUGCCAUGACCUCCAUGGCCAAGAAUUUGGUUUUUGUCAAACUUGUUUGUAGCAUGCUGCAACUCUGCUUCUGAGAAAAUUGUAAAUGAUUUCCUUUCAUUUGAAUUCAUCUCUUGAAACAGCAGUAGACCACCGUGUAACUUAAAGUAUUUCUGCUUGAUGUGUUGCAGCUUUCUUCUCUCGUGGAUCAGGUACGAACAAGUUGCUAUGAUAACAAGUAUGACAAACCCAACACUUGCACCUAGUUGCCGAAUAUAAUUUGUUAGCCAACAACAAUACUAGGACGAACAGAUGACCACUUAACAUUUAAAAGUAAGUGAAUCUCAAUAUUACAACUAAUGCACUAAUAAGAUAAUCAAUAUGUAAAUCUUAGCAAAAAUAUUAAUCUUGCUAGACGUACAUACCUACAACAGGCAUCUCCCAAGAGGACUUCUGAUUCUUCUGAUCUGGAACACAGACAUCCUCCACCUUAUGUUGUCCUUGAUGGCAUGAACAGUCGUAACCCCCCAUCGUAUUUUGACAAAGUCCAGCGCAUGGAUAAGUAGUAUUAUCAAGACAUUCGUUGAUAUCUGAAACAAAACAAAAAUGUAUAUGUUAUUGAGUAAAAGUUUUAAGUGUAUAUAUACACAAAUCGAUCAUUUAGGAGGUGGAGGAUAGAAGUAGCUAGACCUUUGCAUCCAUCCUUGAUGUAAGGAUUGCCGUCGAACCCCUUGGAGCACUUGCAGAGAUAACCAUGCCCAUUCGUUGAAUUAUGGCAGUCGCUAUUGUCGCUAACACAUGCAUAUGAACUCAUGUCCCUUUUCGCUUCCUCGCAUGUCUCCCUUCUGAUUACCCAGUCCAUCACAGCCGGAACAGUCCCGUUGUAGUCAUUCCAGAAGUUUAUUGAGGGAAUGUAAGUGGUGCUAUACCUGAAAGCAGCCUUUUCCAUUACUACCAGGUAGCCGCACCUGCUGUAGUUCCAGAUUUGAGAGGUGUUAUAAUCUUUAUUGAAAUAAGCCUCGACAUAGCCUAGGUCUGGUGGGACAUCCACCGAACAACAGCCAGCGCCAGAGCAAGAACCAUUUGUUGGUUCAUCCGAGCAUGUGGAUAAGCAACCUAUGACAUACUGCAUAAUUAAGUCACAGAUGUUAAUUAAUUAGCUUAGUGUAAAAAAUCAGCUUAUCUUGUGAUCUACGAAUUGAGAUUGAAAUUAUGUAACGAUCUGGAAGCAUAGUCACUUAACAUAAGCAAAAUAGAUACAAGUAUUUGUUAAAAUUUCCAAUUUUGACGUCAAAAAGGUUGAAAGCAUAAACAUAAAUAAAGGAAAUACUUACCGAAACACCUCUCAUGUAGGCCAUUGUAUUGCACCCGAUGACGAAAAUCUUGUUAUCCUCGUAUGAGAAUCGAUAGGGCGUGUUGGUGAAGUUCUGCCCAACCAUCGAAUCAUUCAUCUGUUUUGUGACCGGGUCAUAGCACUGCCAAGAGAUUCCCAUCUUCAUCCAGGCUUUGGCGUCCGGCACAGAGAUCUUAGUCACCUCGAACGGCCCAAUGAAUGUCCUAUAAGUGCCGCUGUCGUUCUUGCAGUCGAGGCCGAAACCACCGUGGAUCGCGCACUGAUCGCCGAUGCCAAACGGGAACGGGAUGUCGAGGUUGCCGCACCUCGUCUGGCAGCCUCGGCGUCCUGCCGGGACGUCGGCCGCGGCUACCACCCAGAUGGCUGAAAUGCAGAUCAAAAGAGCGGAGAGAAGAAGCUUAGCCAUUUCGUUGUCUGUGUGGUUUGUACUGUACAUGUUCUGAAUUCUCUGGGCUGCGUGUUAAAUAGAGACAUACGCUGCCCCUUGCUAGCUAUAUCGACGUUGACGAUUGAGAGUACCUGACCAAUGCCGAUAGACCGCGAGGUCGCUCACAAUCACAUCACAUGGGACACCGCAUUAUCAGAACUAUUCGUGGCCAGACGCCCAGACUCGGUCCCAGCCGAGCCCAUUCGUGGACGUUGACGACGACGUGGUGUAUUUACGCACAUAAAGCAGGGUCGUUUCCGCUAAUUUCCGUCGCUACGCACGUCCGUGAAAACGCGAACCGAUCGAUCAAGCGGGUAGCAAGACUUGCAGCAUAGGAACAGGUGCAUCGCGCAUCAUCGAAAGGACGGAGUUUCAGCUAGCUUGCCUAGUUGCCUCUCGGGCACUACGCUUCUCAGUAAUUAGCCGAUCAGCUCUACCGCUCAACAAAUCUCCCUCGAUUUGGCUUGGAUUAACUCUUCGUUCCUAGGGACUAGGGAGACUUAUAAUACCAAGUCAAUGCCGGUUGUUGAGAUGAGAGCUAGCUAGCUUCCAAGAGGUCCCGUAGCCAUCAGCUAGCUCAGGCCAUCUCCGGUGUGCUAAAAAAAAAUCGAACCAUAGGACUAAAAUGUCAACGAAAUUGCUAGAAAACUUCAGCAAAUACUUCCAAAACUUUCAGAGUUAUAGCUAUCGGAUUGCCUCGAGAUUUGUGCAUAAAAAGAAAAAUAUUGCUAGAAACACUACUACACAAAGACAUAGUUUUAUAGGUGCCGGAAGUGUAUACUACAAAAUUUAUAUGUAAAUACAUACGUAUGGUAUAUUAGACUACACACUAGAGGGACUAGAGGGGGUACGUCGCGCGGUACCUGGGGCAUGCGCCCAGGCGCGCAAUAACAAGCUCCUCGACAAUACAGUUAUUACAGAUGGCAAGCGUGUGCUCUACAUAUGCCAAAUGGGCCGCUAGGCCUGGGCCUGGGCCGAGAUUAGUCGGGCUUACACGGCCUAACCUACACGUUGGGCUGCCCCGGACCUACCCACUUGUUGCACCAUCGGCAAAGGUACGACCCAAUAAGACUCGGGCCGUGCCGGGCCGGCCCAAAGGCACGAAAGCGCAUCGUGCUUCUCCUUAGAAAAAAAGUCUAUUUUGCCUCCUCCCCCAUCUCUUUGGUCUGCCUCUUAUAUGGCCUUAAUAAGUCUAUUUUUUGCAUCCCUCAUCUUUUUGGGCUGUGACUUACAUCGCGAGAAUAAGUCUGUUUUGACUUCCUCAUCUAUUUAACUCUCUGAUCGUUGAAUUGGGCCAUGCCGGGCCAACCCAUCGAGCCGAGGCAAAGGGCCAAGCACAAUCCAAAGGUUGGGCCAAGCCAAAACCCCGUCCCAUGGGUCGGACCGUCGUGCCUCGGCCCUUUUGGCCAACUUGUGCUCCUAUAGGAAAGGAAUAAGUUCAACCUGGUCCCUUAACUUUACACUUAAUCCGAUUUUCAACCUUAAACCCAAAAACCAGAUACAACUGGCCCUGAAUUGUCAAAACAGGUGCAAACGAGAUCCCUCGGUGGUUUGGAAAGCGCUUUUGGCUGACGUGGCACCUACGUGGUUAGUUUGACUAGAUCUUUGUCCCACGUGGCAAUUCGAUCAGAAAAAUAAAAAACUACGGGCCCACACGUCAGCUCCACACACAAAAUAAUUAAAGAUAGUGGGGCCCACGUGGGCCCCACAUGUCAUCCUCACUCCUUUCUUCCCUCUUCCCUCUCUUUCUUCCUUAUCCUCACGUUUCAUCUCUUUUGGGGAGAGGCGGGCAACAACCUCGGCGAGCGAGGCUAGCGGCAGGUGGAGUGAACCGACAGCGGUGACACCCUCGCCGCCGCCUUCCUCUCCAACGGGUCGUCGUCCUCCGCGGCCUCCGUGGUGGUGACCGUGGCUUCUCACGCUGCUGGCCCAGGAGCUGCAGGAGUCGGAGCGCCCCGACCGCAGGCUCCGCCGACGAGGACGACAACUCCAGUGCCAUCGCCGCCGCGCGCGCCAAGAACGCGCCGCCCUCCAUCGCCGCCACGCUCGAGACGGAGAUGGAGUUCGACGGCGGCGACGGUGGUAUUAAGGGCACGGAUGCGACUGACGCAGCCUGACAGCUUCUUGCGCUUCCCGUUGCCAGCGCGAGCAGGUGCGCGCGGAGACGUCAGUGAGUAGCAGCGGUGGCAUCGGCGGAAGCGUCGGUCCAAUCCGACGCAAGGGUGUCGAUGAGGGAGGCGAGGCCGGGGCUGAGAUCGUUAGGGGAGGCGGAGGUCGCAGAAGCCGUCGGAGCAAUGUAGAGAAGGGGGAGCCCUGUCGCGGGCGUGCCAGCGGGCCACGCUAAGGGAGCCGGAGGUGGACAUGGCUGCAGGUGGCGAUGGAAUUGGUGAAGACCUGGGCUGCGUGAUGAAGUUGGCGGUGGUGUGCUCGUCCUCUAGAUCGGGCGGCGAAAUCAACAGCCGGCGAGGGGCUGCCAGAUCCGCCCGCGACGGAUUGAGGUCAAGGUCGGGGGUUCUUGGGCAGUAGUGACUCGGCACUGGCGGCGAGCCGUCUCACAAAUGAGAAGAUGGGGAGGAGAUAGAGAAAGGAGGGGAUUAGGUGGGGAAAUGGGACCCACUGUCAUGUGGUCCCACUAUUAUUUAAUCUUAUUAUUUGACCGACAUGAGGUCCAACAUUUUUUUAUUUUUUAAAUUGUUAAAUUUUGCUUUAUAUGCCACGUCAGAUGAAAACCGAGUCAAAUUAGCCACGCAAGGGCCACGUCAGCUGAAACUGCCAUCCAAAUCGUCUUGGGUCUUAUUUUGUGCUGGUUUUGACAGUUGAGAGACCCGUUGUAUCUGGUUUUCCGGUUGAAGAAUGAAAAUCAGAUUCGUUGACAAGUUAAGGGACCUCAUAUGAACUUAUUCCCAUAGAAAAUUAGUCUACGGAAAAAGUAUACUUUGACUCCCUUAACUAUCGCUCGAGUAUGAUUCAUGACCUCCAACCACAAAACCGGGUAUAUUGACUCCGCCAAUUAUCAAAACCGGUGCAAACAAUGUCCCACGGUGGUUUUAGAGGUGGUUUUUGCUGACGUGACGCCCACAUGGCAGUCUUGACCGAGUUUUUGUCCUACGUGGUGCUUACGUGGUAUUAGAAUAAAAACAAAAUCAAAAAAAUAUGUGGGAGCCAUAUAUCAUUCACACAAAAGAAAAGUAUUGUGGGACCCACAUGUCAUCCUCCCUCUCCUUUCCUUCUUCCUCCCCUCUCUCUCCCUUAUCUCUCUCUCUCUCCCCCGGCCUUUCUCUUGGCUGGAGCGGCGGUGGCGGCGGUUGGAAGCGGCGGUGGCGGUGGGGGCAUCGGAAGAGCUUAACGGAUUCUUGCGGGAUGUUGGCCUUGCCGUAGGCGGCGAUAAGGGUGGCGACGGUGGCCUCCUCGGGGGCAAUGGAGAAGGAGGGCAUGGUGUCGAGGAGGAGGCAGCGGGCGUGGUUGAGCAUGCGGUGGGAGGCGACGAUCGGGAUGAGGAGGGCGAAGGUGGACGGCUCGGGGUUGAAGCCGGCGCGGCGGUAGGCGAAGCGGAAGAACUAGAAGACGAGGUCGACGCGGCCAGCGGCGGCGGCCCCAGAGAUGACGCGCGUGGACGAGCGUCGGGGAGAGCAGGCGGAUGGAGUUCUCGAGGCGGCGAGCCUCAUCCCCACCGCCACCGCGACCGCCGCCGCCGCCGCUUCCCACCGCCACCGCUCCCCUCCGCCUCGUUCCCAUCGGCCAUCGCCACCGCCGUCGCUCUUGAGGGAGAGAGAGAUAAGGGAGGGAGAGAGAGAUAAGGGAGAGAGAGGGAGGAUGACAUGUGGGUCCCACUUUUUGUGUGUGUGUGUGAAUGACAUAUGGGUCCCACAUAUUUUUUUAUUUUUAUUUUUAUUUUGAUGCCACGUAAGCGCCACGUAGGAUAAAGACUCAGUCAAGACUGCCACGUGGGCGCUACGUCAGCCAAAACCAUCUCCAAAACCACCAAGAGACAUUGUUUGCACCGGUUUUGAUACUUGGAAGAGUCGAUAUACCUAGUUUUGUGGUUGGAGGUUGUGAAUCAUACUCGGACGAUAGUUAAGGGAGUCCAAGUAUACUUUUUCCUUACCUAGCGUCUCGAUUCCAGCCCAACUAGCGCCACUCCCACCUGGGCCACCACCCACAUCACUCGUCGCCGUUCCUAAACCCAAGAGAACUCCUCCCCUCACGCCAAUGCCGGCCUCGUCCGCGCCGCCGCCGGGAGAGAGAGUGACCGAGGCGGCGGCAGGAGCAGCCCGUGCGAGAGAGUGAGAGGGAGGAAGGGACCAUGCGAGGAGGCAGUAAAGCGCGGGCGCACGCAGCGCCGCCACUUCAAGCAGGGGCGCGAGGUCCUCUGGAAGCACAAUCCCCCAGCGCCCUCCAGCCGCUUUUGCUUCCAAUUUCCCUACCAAAGCACGGUAAUCCUGCAAUUGUAUCUCCUUGAAUCCCCUAUUCUGCUUGACACACGCUAAACGUUUGGCUGCGUGUCGGAUCCAUGCACAAUCUGUGGGGUCGUUUUUGAAAAACAUCCCUACAAACGGUGGCAGAUCUUUAAAUUUUUUUGAAGCCUAGACAAGAUUAAUAUUAUCGCUGAUAAUUUAGAUUUUAAAGCUAGUGUCAUCUUGAACAUCGGUGCUAGUAGGUUGUAUUGCUUUGGCCUUUAUAACUACAGCUUGAUGGUUUGGUCCUUGCUAUCUCGUUUUCUGAUAAUCUGAUUAUUCAUCUAAUUAAUCUUCAUUAGAACUUACGAGACAAAGUGAUUAUGUUUGUUUCAGCUUAAGAUUAUUAUAAUCUAGAUUAUAGAACUAGAUUACUAUAAGCUGAAUUAUAAUAAGCCGACAUAGAAUAAGCUGCUAGCUGUUUGUUUCUCUAAAUUAUUAUCUGUUUGUUAGUUGUUUGCCACCCAAUAAUCUAAGAAAAGCACCUUUAGAGUGGCUCACCAGAUUAUAGUAAUCUGGCUUAUAGAUUAUAAUAAUACUCCCUCCGUUUCACAAUGUAAGUCAUUCUAUCAUUUUCCAAAUUCAUAUUGAUAUUAAUGAAUCUAGACAUAUAUAUCUAUAUAGAUUCAUUAACAUCAAUAUGAAUGUGGGAAAUGCUAGAAUGACUUACACUGUGAAACGGAGGAAGUAUAUCAUAAUAAGCUAUCUAUUUGUUUCAGCUUACUCCUAAUAAUCCAGAUUAAAAUAAUCCUAAGCUGAAUUAAACAUGGCCUAAGUAUAUGGUUAACGAGUAAUACGCUGCAUAUGCAUUGGAGCAGUGUGUUGCUGUACGCAUGGUGCCCAGGCAAUUGCGCGUGAUGGCCGGGCGCCGGCGCCGCCGCUGCCUACAAAUUUUAACUUUCAUGUACAAAUUCAAAAAAUUAUAGAAAUGACUCCAUUUAAAUACAAACUAGUAGUAACCGAUUUUAAAGGGUUAAAUUUCUAGCUCCGCCACUAGCUGCGUCAUCAUGGUUGGCGGUGGUGGUGGCGGCCAUUCAUGCAUUUAGGCUUCAGCUAUUUGCCUUCACGACAUCGUGUAUAGAAGUAGCGCACCUGGGCACGUUCAAUACUCAGCAUAUCCUACUCUGUUUUAGGCUGUGUUCAGGAGUAGGGGUUUCCUAGCACGCAAAAUAAAAUUCGUAUUAUUGCAUGAUUAAUUAAGUGCUAACUAACUAUUUUUUUUAAAAAAAUAGAUUAAUAUGAUUUUUUAAAACAUCUUUCAUAUAGAAAAUUUUUUAUAAAUCACACCGUUUAGCAGUUUGAAAAAUAUACAUGCGGAAAACGAGAGAUGUGGGUUGAAAAAACAGGGAGAAGAACACAGCCUGAGGGGACUAACGAAUUGUUGACACAUUGUACAUUUCAAUGCUCUUGCCUGAGGGGAGCAGUACGGCAAAAAAAAUGUACUACCUGCAUGGCUGCAUCUAAAUAUAGUUAAGUGCGGAUGUGAGUUUUCUUAUUUAACAUUUGACAUACGUCUUAUUUAAAAAAAAUUAUAAAAAAAUAGUCACACAUAAAGUAUUAUUCAUGUUUUAUCAUCUAAUAACAAUAAAAAUACUAAUCACAAUUUUUUUAAAUAAGAAUAACAGUCAAAUAUUAAAUACGGAAACUUACAACUGUAUUUAUAUCGGGACGGUGUGUUACGUUCCAACAUCAAUUUUGACAGAUCAAGCCAACCUCAAGUAAGCACCUCAAGUAAGCACAAGCAAAACCAGCAUCAAACCACUGAAAUAUUCAUAUACAAAACAGAGAGAAAGAAGAGUUUAGACAAGGAAUAGCAGGAGAUUGGGUUGGUAGAAAGGAGAUCAGGAAAUCAGAGGAAAUAGAGUAGGAUUUGGGAAGAAGCAAGAGGGAGGGAACAGCCAGGCAAUAGGCUUCAGUUCUUAUAUUCUUUGAUCCCCUUCCCAUUGUGCCUGGUUCCUUUUUGUAGUAAUUACUUGAUGUAGCAUAUUGGGCCUAACAGGCCACAAUCCACCAUGGAUGUCUAGCCCAACGCGAGUCCGUGACACGGAGAGAGUACCAGAUUUGAUCUUGAAAUCCUUUUUGUUCUGUAGUGGUAGAAAUUAAAGAGGAAUUUGAAGGUUGCUUCAUUCGCGUGCAUGGCUGCCCAAACAACCCGUCUUGUCACUCAGGAGGAAAAACAACCAUAGAAGCAUCCGUUUCUCUUUCUUUGGAAUGCUAUUAUCCCUCCGUCCCACGAAAAAGAUCUAGGACUGGAUGUGAUAUAUCAUAGUACUACGAAUCUAUUACAUCCAGUAUUAGGUUGAUUUUUAUGAGACGGACGGAGUAUGUGGCAAGUAAGCAGUUAAAAAAGAGCAAGAAGUUGGCACAACAAUUACCGACUGGAUAAACUUGUAAAAGAUAUGUAGGCAUGGUUAUAAAUAAUUUAACUCUGAAAUUCUAAGCACAGACUAUGUUAUUCCACCCUUCACAUUUUCUGGCCGUUUUCAGUUCAGAACUUCAGAUACUAGACCAAAACAACCAAUACAAUUAUAUAAACUAUACAAUCUACAAUUCAUUCUACCAAUGCAAAUACUUACCUAGUAGUCUUCGGUCAGAUUCCUGCGUUUUGGGGAUUUUUCAAUUUUUUUUGACCCCUCCAGUGUUCGCCACGUGUUAAACUGUUUUGCUUCCAAGAACAAGAUAUUCGUUUAUGAUCAAUGCAUUAAUAACUAUAAUAGACUAGAGAAAAAUGUGCAUACAUACAUAGACAAAUCAUUGUUAGGCUUCUUAUCUUGUUAAUUUCCUUUUAUUAUUGAUCCUCUUUUCCGUUCAAAGGUAUAACUUAGAAUUAUUUAAGUUUCUUUCCUUCCUUGUGGUGAGUUUUCUAUCUACCUCAUGAGCCAAUGAUUUCUGAAAUUGCGAUGUUGCCUAUCCAAUUAAAGAUAUAGUGAUAUCUAUAAAUGUCCCCAAGGUGUUAUCAAAGCGUUUAAAAAACCAUAGCCUAUAGUUCUUUAGAAAAAUGAUAGGAUGCAUUAUUUAAUUGUUUUGUUAAUACACAAAGAAUCAAUGAGAAAUUAGUUGUUCAUCAAUAGGAGAAGCAUAUUAUCUAAAAGAAAUAAAUAUAGAAAAGCCAUAAUUCAUCUUUGUAGCUAGAGAGAGCGGUUAAUUAUUGAUAAGACUAAAAGUUCUUUUAUUAGAGAAACUUCACCAAUUUUUUUUCAUACAACAAAUAAUUUUGCACACAUUCUAUUCACUCUUAUACUCAUGUAAAGAAUUACUCAUUUGUUCCAACACAAAUAUGCAAUCCCUUCUAUUACCUUUGGCAAGAAUUUCUUAAAUUUGACACUCUAUUGUAUAACUUUCCUUUUCAUCUACAAGAGAGAUGAAUGAUCUGUCUUAAAGUUAAUACAUGUUUUGAAUCCCAAUCUACCAAGAGUAGUGAUACCAGGAGGAUAUUCUAACAGAUACAAUUACCUUGCCUUCACAAGAUCUCAACUUUACACAAAUAAUUGACAUAGAUGAGUAAGAGUUCCUUGGCUCUACAAGGAAUCUAUGAUAAAUCACAAUAGGAUUGGACAUAAGCUAUACCAGAGAGAGUACUGCUUAACGCCCUGAUUCCAAACCCUUGACAACUUUCCUUUCAAUGCUAAAAUUUCCUGUACUCUCAACCUCUGAGAUGACCACACAUGAUGACUCACCAAGCAAGCUCUCCAAUUCUUCUGGGUUAUCGUGUGUCCAUGGAUGCUCGAUGACUUUCCUCAGCCUAUCAAGCUUAUCUCUUACUUCCUUCAUUGAUGGCCUAUCUACACCGGACAUCUCCAAGCAUUGUCUUGCUAACUCGGCAAUCUCUUCAAGAAACCCCAUAUUCUCAUUAUUCUUGAUUUGAUCAUCCAAUAGAUCACUGAGCUUAUUCUCCUUCAUUGCAGAGAGAAACCUCAUAGACAGGCAUUUCUCAUUUUCAAGCGCAUCAAGAUUGAACGGCUUCUUGCGUGUAAGAAGUUCUAGAAGAACAACUCCAAAGCUAUAUACAUCACUCUUAUCUGUUAAUUGGCACGUUUGCAUGUACUCUGGGUCAAGGUAUCCACAAGUUCCUUGAACUAGUGUGACAAAUUGCGUCUCAUCUGUUGGAGCUAGGAUAGAUGCACCAAAAUCUGAAACUUUUGCUGAGAGGUUGCUAUCAAGGAGGAUGUUCGACGACUUGACGUCACCAUGGAGGAUUGGUGGGGAAGCACAAGAGUGGAGGUAGGCAAGUGCCUCAGCAGACUCAUGGGCAAUCCGUAGGCGAGUAACCAGAGGGAUGUGCCAACCAUUAUAGUUUCCAUGGAUGAGAUGGUAAAGUGUGUCAUUUGGGAUGAAUUCAUAGACCAAUAUAGGGACCUCCACUUCAAGGCAACAACCUAAUAGUUUAACAAUGUUUUUGUGGUUGAUUUGGGAUAAAAUUAGCAUUUCUUUGCCAAACUCUUUUUUCUUUUGCUCAUCAAUUGUCAUGCAUCUUUUUACUGCUACUUCCAAGUUGUCCUUAAGAUGUCCCUUGUAAACAAUUCCAUUGCCUCCUUGGCCUAGAACUUGAUGUUCAUCAAAUUUGUUUGUCGCCUGUUGCAAUUCUUCUUCCGAGAAGAUUUUGAAUGCAAGACCUUGUUUAGAUUUCAUCUCUUCAUAUAGUAGCAGGCCACCAUGCCGUCGAAAGUAUUGAUUUUUGAUGUGCUGUAGCUUUCUUCUAUCAUGAAUUAAGCAUGCACAAGUUAUGGUGAUCACUAGGAUGACAAGUCCAACACUUGUGCCUACACAAUCAUAAAAGCUUGUGUGAAUGACUAGUAAGGCCAGUCCCAACCCAAUGACUAGAAUGGUGUCUAUAGCAUUAAAUAAGCUACCACCUAGGAUGAAAGAUGAUGUGGCAAGUGAAUAAAUGAGGAAAGAAAAGGAAACCAGGUCUUGCAUGAGACAUGCAUGGUUUUUACACAACAUCCAAGACAUCAUAUGAGAUAAGUAGCAUUAAAUCUAAGUAUGAAACAAUGGUGUUUGCAUUGAAAGAGCAGUGUCUUGUACUAGUUUUUUUUAUGAUGUGGAGUUUAUGGAAACUAUGUCUAGUGUGUUGGGUUGGGAUUGGCCUAAGAUAUGGAAUUAUGGAAGAUCCAUGAGCUAGCCAUGUGUAAUGACUAGUAAGGCAUGCAAAAUUUAUAUAUUAACAAUUCUCAUAUUGGUGUGCACAAAUGGUUGGCGUUAUCAUUAGUUCUAGUGAUUACGGAAGAGGGGAACCAACCUACUAUAGGAAGUGCAAGAAAACCGGACUUCCGAUUUGGUAUGCAAGUGCCAUUCUCCAUAUAGUUUCCUUGGUGGCAUGAGCAAGUGAAACUCCCCAUUGUAUUAUUGCAUAUCCCCGGACAAGGAUAAGUAACAUUGUCGAGGCACUCAUUGAUAUCUGAAAUCAAGCAACCAUUGCAAGUUUGAUUGAAAUUGUCAUAUCAAGGAAGAAGAAUAACGAAAAAGUAACUAUGGUACCUUCACAACCAUCUUUAAUAUACGGGUUUCCUUCAUAUCCAUGUGAACAAUUACAACGGUAACCUCCACUCGGAUCAUCAUUGCAGAUGCUGUUUGUACUAACACAAGCGUAGGAAGUGGUUUUGCUUUUAGCCUUCUCACAUGUAUCCAAUGUUAUGACCCAGUCCAACACAACUGGAACUCCCUCUUUGUACGUGUCGUUGAAUACCGUGGAGUUGAGGUAAGUGGUGCUAAAUUGGAAGGCCUUAUCCUCCAUCACCGCCAUGUAGCUGCAAGGGCUGCUCCUCCAUAUUUUGCUAUCAUUGUAAUCUUCGUCAAAAUAACCAUCAUAACUAUAUAUGUGUCCUGGAACAUCCAUCUGGCAACAGCCACCGCCGGAGCAAGAUCCAUUCACAGGUGUUGAACCAUUACAUGUCGAGAAGCAACCAAUUACGUACUGUGGAAUUUGCAUAUGUAUUAUUAGACCAAGAAGUAGUGAACUCUGCCACUGUUUUCUUUAUUAAAAAAAGAAUAAACACUUAUAUGGUAGUGUGUAUCUGUUUUUUUUUCUUGUUGUGAAAACAUACUACUUUGACGAUCUUUUUUUGGAGGGAGCAAUAUUGACAAUCUUGAUGGUUGAAUGCGCAUUGGCAACCUCACUAGUUGCACAUAGUGACUCAUAUCACUACUAUAGAGUCGGUCAUCUAUGCACGGAAAUGGUUUGUUUGGUCCCUUGACGUGCAGGUGACUUGAGGCGACGUUUGGUCAAUGGACAAGACUAAAUUAAGCUAGAGAAGCAUAUUUUAUUUAUUAUAAAAGCAGCAUGCUUUUUUUUAAUAUUAAAAAAUGGCAAUGAAAUCAUUAUGGUGGGUCUAGUUAGGUUUUGGAGGGGGGUUGAUCUUCUUCCUCCCCUUCUCUCCUCCCCAUAGGGAUCCAACAGGGUGGGAAAUUGGGGCGGGGGGGGGGGGGGGCUUAAUCCACAUUAGAUUUGCCCCGGGCAGCGAGACACAUGUGGUAUGCACCGCCACGGACACAAACACAACGUCCCCUGAAUUAGCUGGGGAACAUGCGCAGAAGAAAAAAAAUACUAGAUGGCUACACCUUCUAGGAUUUGAGCAAGAAUACCUUACUAUGAUUUUUACCGGAAUUGAUAAUUAAAUUAAAAAUGUUCGACAAUUUUUCAACCAAAACCUUCAGAUUUAUGAUUGUCAGAUCACCUUGAUAUUCAUGCGGAGAGGGGAAAAAAAAUCUGUGCAAUACGUACAAGUUGAACAUGCAACAUGUGAGGUGGAUGUCGUGCUGCUAGCCAACCGGUUGCAUGAACGUUUUAUUCAACUACAUAUAAGUUACACUAUAAUCAUAUUAUAAUUACAAUAUAAUCUCAAAUUAUACUACAUUAUAUUUAAAAGUCUUUUAUUAAAAAAACUGUAGUGUAUACUGUACAGUAGCUCCUAAUUUUUAUUGGACCAUAACUAAUAUUUAUACUGAUGUAUAUUAUGGGGCAGGGUCCCUAAAUUAUUUUUUUUAGGCUUAAGGCUGCCUCUCCGCUUGCGCCCUGUAGCGCCCGUUCCGUCGUGGCGCCUAGCGGGAAAACUAUCUCUUAAAAAUCCUAUUUGCGAAAUCCGUUUCUUUGCUUGUUGUCUAGUGUCCGUGCCAUCUCAGAUCUCAAAUCCCCGAUCUAUCGUCAAGUUCAAUCCCGAAUCCAAAUCCUUCCCAAAUCAAAUUCCUCCGCAAAAGUCUAUUUUGCCUCCCUCGGGUUCGAUGGGCCGAAUCCCUCUAGGCCCAUCUCCCCCUCCCUCCCCGGCUCUCUCUCUCUCUCUCUCUGCCCGCUCUGCCGUGAGCCGCGCCGAGCCCUCCCUCCCGCUCUCGCUGCCGUUCCCGCCGAUGCCGCCCAAAUCGCCGCGCCGCCCGCGCGCGCGCGCGCCUUGGUGGCCGACCGGCCAGUCGCCGCCGCCGUCAGCGCCUGCCGCGCCUGCCCCGCGUCUGCCGCCCGUGUCGCCGCUCCACUCCAAACCGCCCCGCCGUCAUCGCCGUCGUCAUCGACUCGGCCCCGCCUCUCCCCGCGCGUGCCUCCAAGGGACGGAGGCAGAGCUCCCCCCCUCUGCCGCGUCGCCCCCUCUCCCUCCUCCUUUUUCCCAAAGUGGCAAGGAGGCAAGGGUUCUCUCCCCCUUUUUCCCUUUUCCCUCCCGCCGGCGUCAUCCUUCCCCCCCCCCCCCCCCCCCGUCGCCGCUUUGGCCGCGACCGCCAAGCGCGAGCUCCCUCCCUUGACCGCCCAAGGUCGGUUUCCAAACCGACAUCGCCGCCCUAUAAACAAAAGCGCCUCCCUUCCUCUUUCCCCUCCCAAUCUUCCCCGUUUCUCGCCCGCGCCAUUGCUGUCUCUCCCGCCGGCCGCCGCCGUCGCGUGUGCUGGAGGAGCCGGUGCGCGUUAGGACGAGGAAGGGGACUCCGGGCGCUCGUCUUCUUCCUCUCCCCCGGCCCGAGGCCGGAGAGAUCGCUCCCGUGCCGUCGGCCCAUCGUCACUGCGCCCCGUCCGCACGGUAGUGAAUCUCCCCGUUCUCCCUCCUCAAUCCAUCUCUUCCCCUUAGUUUUCGGUAGUAGCAUGUGUAGCCUCCCCGUAGCUAGCCGGCGCCGCCCCGACUGCUGCCGUCGCUCGCCGUGUGCUCACCGCCCGAGCUCAGAAGCGCCACUCGUCGCCGGCCUCCCUCGAUGCGAUUCCUCCUAAUCCGGCGCAAGGGGUGGGUUCCCGUAGCCGCGUAGAUGCUCUCGCCGCCGGGAAUCGGCCCCUCGUGACCUCAUCGCCGUUUCCCCCUUCUCCCGCCGCCGGUUGCCGCCGCCGCAAUCCGCCGCCGUCGAGCAUCCCCCGGCGAAUCCGAGCCAUUGGCUCGUCUCCCCUCGUCCUGUGCAACAUCCCGGUGUGCUCGCCUUCGCCUGUAUCGCCAUGGUUCGCUCCGCCGCUCGCCGCUGUCGUCCGCCGUCCGUUCCGGCCGGCGUCGUCGUCUACCUCCCGCCGGCUCGCGUGGCAGCCACGUAGGCGCCACGUCGGCGCCACCUCGGCCGCGACCGGGUCAAGCAGACCCCGGUCCGCCGCUUCCCUCCGCCCCUCGCGCGCGCGGUCCACCGCGAGCCGUGAGGCUGCGCGUGGGCCCGUCGCACCACGUCCUCCGCGAAACGCGCGCAUGCGCCGCGCCUCCCUCCCCAAACCCUAGCACGCCCCGCGUGCACCUCGCUCACGGUGAGCCGAGUCGCUGACAAGCGGGUCCCACCCGGGACCACGCGGGAUGGACCCGGCCCACCGGCUCUCUCUCUCCCCUCCCCGCCCGCGCGCGCGCCUUGGGCCGCCUUCUUGGGCCGGCCGGCCCAUUAAGCUCGGCCGAGCCGCCCCUUUCUCUCGGGCCGCGCCCUAGCCGCCCGAGGGAAGUCUAAUUUCCCUCCCUCCUUCUUUUCUUUUUCAAAAAGGAUUUAAAUAAAUCCUUUUCCUUUAGACCAAAAAUCCAAUAAUCUUAGAAAUUCAAUAUCUUCCCAACCGUAAGUCCGUUUGACUCCGUUCAACUUCCAAAAUUCCUCAAAUCUCGAGAUCUAUCGAAUGGCACGCUUAGAGGUCAAUAAUAGGGCUUUAUUUUUGCCGUUUGCUGAGCUGUCCCGUUUCGCGUGUAGUUUCGGAGCCCGAAGACCCGCAGUGCGAGGAUUUCGAGGAUCAAGCUCAAGAUCUCGAGCGAGGCAAGCCACCUUUGAACAUCUUGAGCCUAUAUUUGAACUUAAUUAUGUUGCUUGAAAAAUAUUAUGCAUUGAUAGGAUCGCACUUAAUCUGCUUGUCCCGUCUGCAAGGCAGAUUGGCGGACCUACCUAAUUUGUUGCAUUUGACCAUUCCAUUGUAAUUGUUAUACCAUGUUCCCUUGUACCCACCUAGUUGCGCCUCGGUAAUCGUGCACUCUGCACGGGUAUCGACGGUCGCCUUCAAACUUAAAAUCUGAGAAACAUCUUGGGUAAAACUUGCGUUUUACAAAAGACUUGGAAAAUCCGACACCUGGGUCGGUGCUUGCGAACUAAAUGAAUUUCCAAAACCGCGGACCGGGGAACGUACCGGGUGUACGGUUUCCCGCUCUUGCACCUAAGGACUGUUUCCUUGGAAUUUCAUCCGAACAUAAGACAAGUACGACCACAUGGGUGGAAUGGGACACCCCUGGCUGAGUAACUAGCUUAUCGGGAGAGCCAUGAUGCUAAGAGACAUGUGGAUUCGCCGGGGUGGUGUCGGGGAGGACCCCUGGGCUUCCUGGCACAAUAUGGUCUGGGACCUAAUCUGGUGUUGGUCUGGGACCCUUCUCGUUGGCAUAUGGUGAACCUGUGUCGGCUUUCGAAAUGCCUUGUCAUGAAAGCCUUAAGGUCUCUAGUCGUGGCCGUUCUGCACGGGCUGGAUGAUCCGGGUUAGUAAUGUCGUGUGGGUAAAGUGUACCCCCUCUGCAGAGGUUAUUAAAACUGUUCGAACAGCCGUGCCCACGGUCAUGGGCGGAUGUGAGGUGAUUCCUAGCGUAGUUUUGUUUGACUACUGCCUUAUGAAAUUUGCUGUUGUGGGAUGGGUUUGAUGUUUGGAAAAUCUGCGGCUGAUGGGAUCAGCCAGGCCCGGGUGGCCGUUUGAAAGCUGUUGGCCGGGUGCCAAUCUUGAUCAAUUCAAAAGACUGAUACAUUGCACAUACUCCGACCGGACGAGACGCACUGUCUCAUCCGUGUCGUUUGAGAAGCACUCACUUAGUUGUUUCAGAAAAGAGUUCAAAUAAAAUCAAUUGCAAAAACAACAGCCUUUCUUUGAAGCCUACAUUAAACACUUAUUUCCCAUGGCUUGCUGAGUACUCCCGUACUCACCCUUGCUCUAUAUAAAUAAUCCCCCCUAGUUGCUGAAGAAGAUGAAGCGGAUCCCGCUGACGAGGAGUUCUUCCAGGAGCAAGCCGGCUACGAUGAGUUUUAGGGUUUCGGCCUAGUUUCCAAGUCGCGCCUGUGAUGUUUGGUCCAAGUCUUGGCUUCCGCUUCCCUUUUGUAAUGCAGUUGUGAGCUCGGGAUCUGUCCGCAGCCCAACAUGACUAUACUCCUACUCUAUAAUAAAGAGACCUCUGUUGCUGUGAUAUUCUGUCUUCCUGUGAUACCAGCACUGUUUCCUGGGACUGGUAUCGAUUAACAGGUUAAUUUGGAGCGUCACGGGCUAGUUCCGGUCGGGACUAGUUCGGGGCGUGACACGCCCUUACCCCCUACCCUGGCUGGGUCGCACCUUGGAUGAGAAAAAAGGAGCAUUUGUAUAGGCUGGUUUACUUUCAGACUACAUUUCUUGAGAAGUGUUCAAGCUUGUACUAAGUAUGAGAUCUUGUUAACUUUUCUUUGAAAUGUUGUGCAUGGAAAGGUGUGAGUUGUACGUGUUGAGUUAAUUUGCUUCUUUAUUUGUAAAUUAUGUGUUCUAUUGUCUUUGUGAUAUGGUUUUUCUUUUGAUUUAUAUGCUGAGUUUUUGUGGUGAGAAGAAGGAUGAAUAGAUGAAGCUUUAUGCUCCUUUUGAAUCCAUCUCCCUCUUGAGCGCAAAAGAUGUUCUUGUUGAUUUGCCAGUUUUUCUUUUCUUCAUGGAAAUAUUUGGAGGGCCUUGGUCAGUGACUUCUACAAAGUAUGGGAUUUUGCUUAUGGAGAAACAACACAGCAUUAACGGAAGGAAUCCAAUAUACCAUCAUUAAUUUGGAAGCUGACGGGCACUGGAUCAAUAGCACAGUGCGCAGUUAGCUUUUUUUUUUUUUUGAGAAUUAGCAGUUAGCAUAUCAAGCGCAAUUUGCUAGCCAAAUACAAUCAGCUGGGGCAAGGCAAAUCUGGGAACCCUCCAAAUGCAAGUUAUUCUCUUGGUUACUCCUUCUGAACAGAAUUUAGACCUCUGAUAGACUACAAAUCAGAGGGUGGCUAGCUGAAUAACUAUUUCUACCAAUUGUGUUUUAGAAGCCUUGAGACAACACAUUUUCGAGGAUUGUCAGAUGUUCAAAUCCAUAUGGGAGGCCAUUACGCGAAUUAAGGACUAGUUAAAAUUGGGUGGCAGCAUAUUACAGUCCACUUGAUUGCUAGGUUGGUGGAACAAAAACGCAACACAACAUGACAAACACAAAUCAAAGGGGAUGAGAUUCCCUAUUACUUUGGGUGGCGUGGGUGGCGUGGAUAGCAUAGUGUGAGCGGAAAUACGGAAUAGACGAGUCUUAAAAAGUAAAGAGAUGAUCAAAACGUGUAGAUAGUGACAAGAAUCUUGGGAGAAACCGGUUUUUGGCAAAAUCAUAUCGGAUCACUGCUGCCCAUCCAAAAACUUCCCUCCUAUAUAUACUUCUUCUAUCUCAUAAGUACUCCCUCCAUUUUAUAUUAUAAGUCGUUUGACUUUUUCUAAAGUUAAAGUUAUUUAGAUUUGAUCAAGUUUUUUAAAAAAAUUAGCAACAUUUAUAACAUAUAACACCAAAUUAGUUUCAUUAAAUUUAACAUUGAAUAUAUUUUGAUAAUAUUUUUGUUUUGUAUUAAAAAUGUUAAAAUAUUUUUCUAUAAAUUUGGUUAAAUUUAAAGUAGUUUGACUAAGAAAAAAAAUUAAACGGCUUAUAAUAUAAAACGGAUAGAGUAUGUACAUUUUGCAUGUGGCUGGGAGAAAAAAAAAGAAUACACUUGCCAAGUGAAAUUCUAGAUAAACGACGGUAUUGGCCUUGCGACAGUUUUCGGGAAUUCUUUUCCCCCCUAGUCCCCGGCCGAUUCCCUGUUUGUAUACUUAACAUGGUGUGCUUAUUAAAAUGCCUCUAAAUGAUAAGCUUAAGAGAUAUAUAUACUUACAGCGUUGCUCUCCAUAUAAGCCAUAGUUUGACAUCCGAUGACGAUGAUCUUGUUUUCGGUCGAUAGCCAGAAAGGUGAAUCACCGAAUUCUGCCGUUGCGUUGCUGUCGUACAGGAUAUGGCCUGUCACGUGGUCAUAACACUGACUGGAUAUGCCCAACUUCAUCCAUGCCUUGCCCUCCUGCACCGAAAUCUUGGUAACCUCGUUAUUGUUGUAGAAAGGCUUCUUGGUGCCAUUCACGUCCAAGCAGUCGAGAUCAAACGGAUACUUCGUCUGCAUCGCGCAGUGCUUGCCGAUGCCGAACGGGAACGGGAUCUCGACGUCGCCACACCUCUCCGGGCAACCGGGGCGUUGCCCUGCCGGUAUAUCGGCCGUUGCUGCCGCCACCCAGACAGCCGACAGACAGACACAAAAAAGGCUGGCAAGAACUGCCCGUGUAUACUGCAACUUCAUCUUUGUUGGUUGUGCCCGUUGUUUGCGAGGUCAGCGCUCCAGCUAGCCUAUAUAUAUAGAGAAUAUAUAGAGAGAUAGCCUACAGUGGAGUUCUCAAAAAAAAAAAAGAGAGAGAUAUUCUACAGCGCAGGUAUCGCGUAUAGUACGUAAUUUUGUUGACGUGGGCGGCUGAAUACCGUAAAGUUUUCUCUAUUUUUUUUAGGGAGGGGGAUGUGUGUACGAUGAAGAAGCAUUAUUAUUAUUUUAUACAGUAAAUGCAACUAGCAGAAAUAGUAGUAGUAAUCAAAUACAGUACAUAUUCACACAUACUUGUAUGCAGGACUUCUUUUUAAUUUAAAGCAAGUUGCAAGAGCAUUGCAGUACUCCAUAACCGUCCCUUACCUUGGCUAACGAACACAGGCACACACGGACACACCCUUAGAAAUAGGAGGAGCUAGCACUAGAGGAGGAGGUGAACGCCGUCACCGACGAAUGUUUCAUGUGAGCAAUUAGAUUAGCCUGAUCCCUUCGUUGUCAUCAUCUGCACCCUUGAUGAGUUGUGCAGCCAGAUCUAGGUGAAGAGCCCGAAAUAGGGAGAAGACUUUUUGUGUGCAUAGGGUAUGUUCCUGUCUAAAUGAGACUUUAAAUUUUAUUACGUACUCCCUAUGCUUCAUAUUAUAAGUCGUUAAUUUUUUUUUCUUAUUUAAACUUUUUUAAGUUUAAUCAAGUUUAUAAAAAAUAUAUUAACAUUUUAAUACAUAACAAACAUAUUAUCAAAAUAUAUUCAAUGUUAAAUCUAACGAAACUAAUUUGAUAUCGUAGAUAUUAUUAUUUUUUUAUACAAAUUUAGUCAAACCUAGAGAGUUUUGACUUAAACCCGUAUGGGCAUAUAUACCAUGUUAUACUUGCAUGUGUAAGGUCAACGUUUAAACGAUAUACUUAAAAAAGUGAAAGGAAAAAAAAAAGAGAGAGAGAAAACAAACAGUAAUAAGGUUGACGGCACCUUCUGUUUGUUUUUUACUUUCUUUUUCUAUUUUUUAAUAUGGUAUCUGUAAGGGUAUAAUAGGCAUUUAAAUGUUGACUUUUCUUGCAAGGAUGACACAGCAUAUGUUGAGCAUACGUUGAACUGUAUGACACAGCAUAUAUUAUCUAAUACGGAAUGCUAGAAAUCAAGGAUCGUUUUCGCUAUGUACCCUUAUUAAAUCAUAUAUAAAGCUUACAUAACUGACGCCCCAGUAAAAUUCAACUUUAUUAUUUUAUAAUUUUAAAUUAUUAAGUCGUGAAAAUAUUAUAUUUGAGAGUGAUAUUUAUUAAUUUCUAAUUCUAUAAAUCCACGUAUUCUGUAAUGGAAUAUCUCCGCUCUAGAUUUGAUGGAUGACGGGUAUAAUUUUAUCUUUUUUAAUUAACACAAGAAUAAUAUUUUUAGCUUGUCUCUUACUGAUUUUGCUACUUCUAGCUUGAUUAGUGUGAGGGUUGUACGAGAUCCUUUGCUAAUUAAUAUAAGGAAAUAGAUGUUACCGUUGGGAUAGGCUGACUUUGACCAAUAAAAUGCUAAGUACUUGUAUAUGGCCCUAUGGGAAAAAUAUGUAUCGUAAACCUAAAAAUUUAAAAAUGGAUGUGUCUGAUAUUUGUUUACAUCACCAUUAGUAAAGUUUUACUCAAGAUAACGUGGAUAAUUCAUAAACAAGUUCAUUUUUUAUCCGAUGAUAGUUAAUUUACAUAUUGAUAUUACAUAUGUUAUGUGAUUUGCAGUACUUUAUUUUCACAUGUACCUCCUCACGUUUUUAAUUAACUUCGUUUGACAAAGAGCCUUUGUGUUAGUCAAAAGUGUACUCCAGUAGGCCCUAAAUGCGAUGGCGUGACUGGGUCAUGGUUGCACGCUCCUGGGAUUAUAUAGUUUCUAAGGUCCUAUUUCAGCUUAAAAUUAUUAUAAUCUAGAUUAUUAAAUCAGAUUACUAUAACCUGGAUUAUAAUAAGCCAACAUAAAAUAAGCUAAGCUGUUAGCUGUUUAAUUCUCUGUAUUAUUAGCUGUUAGACACCCAAUAAUCUAGGGCCUGUUCACUUUGAUGCAAAAAAAAAACCUUACCAAAAUUUUGGUAACUUGCCAAAAUUUUGGCAGGAUUUCUUAUAUAGUUACCAAAAUUCGGCAGCAAACUAAAUGUAGCCACUUUUUUGGCAACUUUACCAAAAUUUGGUAAGGUUGAAAAUGGUAUAAAAAUGAACAGGCCCCUAGAAAAAGCACCUUUAGAGUGGAUUAUUAUAGUAAUCUGGCUUAUAGAUUAUAAUGAUUUAUCAUAAUUAGCUAUCUGUUUAUUUCAGCUUACUCCUAAUAAUUCAGAUUAUCAUAAUCUUAAACUGAAUCAAACAAGACCUUAACAAAUGAUAGGGGCUCGCAAGUUCGCAGCGGUCUCGGCCUUCUCCAAUAUUCAUAGGGCUAGUGGCAGGUGUACGGUUAAUGAAGAUUGCAUGAAGCUGAUCCAGUGGUUGCGGUUAGGGGUGAAAACGGUCACAGAAAUUUCUGGUCGACUAAAUAUCGUUUUCGUAUUUGUAUAAGGGGUACCGUUUUCGAUCGUACCAUUUUUGGCUAUUUAUGAAUUUUGAUUUUACUAAUUUCUUUCUGUAUCGUAUUAAUGUUGAUACUUACCAGUUUAAAUGAUAAAUAUGAUCAAUUAUUAGUCGAUCGAGUGUCAUUUACUGAUUCUGACCGUUUUCACCCUAGUUGCGGUAAUUAAAUGCGCCAUAUGUUGUCACCUCUGCGUAAUCUGUAUCAACUUCGGAGUACUGCUCGAUCGACAUGGUCAAAAUGAAAAACGCGGCCGGUACAUGAAAUUCUCGGCGUCCUGGCUCGGCUGCGUCGUGCAGAAUUAGUUUUUCCACUACAAGGAGUAGACUUUUGCAUUUCGGAGAUACUGCUGAAAAGUAAAGUGAUACAUGUAAAAAGAUUCUUACAAUUUUUUUUUACAAAAUACCUGAUAUGAAUGCCACAUGGUGAUAUAUCUUUGAUUUUCCAUGACUAUCAACCAAUUAAAUAAUUAAACAGUUUUAUAAUACGUUUGUGUAUUAGAAUUUUUUACAUGCAUACCUGAAAAAUGUUGCAUUCUUACCGGCUCAUCCAAAAUAAGUUUGAGGCAAUUUAAGAUGGGUCACACGAUGGGCUGCGGGGAUGAGUACGGAGUACGGUUGGAUACAACGCAUCCCCUAACUUACGAAACUAGUGCGCACGAGGUCCUAAGGCGGUUUGGAUGGUGGUUUUGGCUUAUAUGACACCUACGUGGCUAGUUAGAGUAGAUCUUCAUCCCACGUGGCGCUUGCAUGGCAUUAUAGGCAGAAUUUUUUAAUAAAUAAACAAGGGGAUCCAUAUAUUAGUCAUAAGGGAAAAAAAGAUAGCCCCACAUGUCAGCGGGUUGUCGGUUAAAAAAAAUAUGUGGACCCACAUGUCACCAACUCUCUUCUCUAUAUUCCUCUUCUCUAUCCCCCAUCUUAUCUCCCUCUAAAGGACGGGAGGUCGUAGACUGGUCGACGGACCUCUGUCUCAGCCUCUCGGAGCUCCGGAGGUCGACAGGCCAGCGAUGGA